rnacentral:lncRNA from 1 species
GUUAAAAAAAAGUAAAGUAUUUUGUCCAUAGAUGGAUAACUUGUAAUCCUAUAUAGCAAGUAGAGCCUUCAACAUUAUGAUGUUGUUUAUCCCUAGUAUUUCUUCUCUCUUUUGACUUUUAGGGAUAUAACUUGUGGUUUAACUGUCUUUAAUAUUGCUUUAUUAUUCCCACGAAUUGUAGACGCAACUCUAGCCUGAUCUCAUUCUAUCAUUUUCUGAUGUAAUACUUUCUUUUGCAUGUUGUUUUGCUCCUUAAAAUUACAAGUUCUUGAAUUCCUAUCUCAAUUUAGAUACAACAUACCAAUGUAAUCUUGUAUGGGGAAGAUGGUGUGUACACAACCUUACUGAUACCUUGUGAAGGUUGAGAGAAUGUUUUUGAUAAACCUUUGGCUUAAGUAAAGCUAAUUAGAAAUCAGACACGUAACGAAACCAUGCUGAAAUCAAGUAGGGUAUUUAGAUGACAAACCAGUAGUAUUCCCAUAGAAAACAGUGGUUUUUAUUCUUAAGAGGUUAUUGCAGAAUAAACACGUUCUUGAUCUGUUUUUAUUGUGCUAAAUUUGGUUUUCCCAAACAGAUCGUCCAACCAAUCCAUAAGAAAAUUAAAUUUAUCCUUAUAUGAUUACUAAUUACUAGUUUAAAAGGAUGCAGUAACAGUUAUCCUAAUUCUUUUUGUUCAGAGAAAAUUUGGACUCUUCACGUGCUAUGAUUAGCUCUUUACCCAAUGUCAUUUCCUAGUUCACGGGUCAUGCAAAGACAGUGAAAAAAUUAUUCAAAAGUGAGUGCACCAGACAGAUUGGCCUACUAUACAGCAUUUCAACCAAUUAUAAACUGAGCUUCAUGCAAUUCCAUUAAUCGUAUGCGUUUUUUUUUUCCAGUAAUCAUAUACUCGCAUUGGUGCAUCGCGAGUUCACACUGAAGCCUAUGCAACUUUAUACCUAGUCCUCAAAUUCGAGACUUCUAAUUAAAAAAUGAAAAAGUACUUAUCACUCCACUAUAAUUGUGGUCCGUUAUAUAGUGUUUGUUAAUUGACAAAACGAACAGUAAUUGCCUUUAAAUUUGUGUUUAGGGUGACAUUACAGGAUUGACCUUGUGAUACUGCAGAAUUCUAUGCUUCUUCUGAAGUCUACAAAAGGAUUAGAAAAAGGAGGCCAAAAUUCAGAAACACACUCUCGUGAAUUACUUUUCCAUCUUCAAACUUGAAAACAACAUAAGAAAAAGAAAUUUAUAAAAAUGGGAACUACCACACACACACACACACCCCAACAGAAAAGGAAAAAAAGAAGAAGCUAAAAACAAUGAAGUCCAAUAAAAUAUUCCAGACUGUAACAGUGCCAUUUCUAUGGAAUUGAGUGGUUCUUGGUGCACACUCUUGAGCAGGAUCCAACACAGUCAUCCAUUUUUCCACCAUCUAAAAACAAAGAAUGAAAAGAGAACAUUAAUUAUAGAGCAAAUACACCAAGACAAAGAUAAUGUACAAAUAAAGAUUACUCCCUCCGUUUUCAAUUUGUUUAUUUGGUUUUAAGUUACACAGAGUUUAAGAAAGUAAAGAUAACAUUUACAUUUUCUUGUCUUAAACUAAAGAUCCGUAGAAUGUACCAAAAAAAAUUCUUUAAUCUCGUUGUCUUGAACGAACUAAAAAAGAAAAGUAAGACAAACAAAUUGAAACAGAAUGCAACAGAGGAAACUUACUAGGUUGAUGUUUUGUGCUGAGAGCAGAACAUGUAGAGAAAGCACAACCAAGCUUGCAGAAGUUAAGGUUCUUACUGUCUGCAACAUCAUUGUGUGAAGUGGGAAUAAUAGAGGAACUAUUACCUGGAUCAGAACUAAAAAUGCAUUCUUUUAAGCAUCUAGAAGUACAAGUACAAAGAUUCUGAGAAGGUUCAAUUAAGCAGAAUAUAAAGCAUUUCGAAUAGCAAUCCCUAAAAGUGGAAACAGAGGCACUGGACUGCCCUAUAAACAUCCCAAAUGCCAUUAACACAAAAACAAAAGCCCAUAACUUCAUUUUUCCUUUAACAACAAAAAGUUUUUGGCCUAUGGAAAAAUUAUACAACUGUAAUAGCCAGUAUUCACAAGUGGCAUAUAUAGUAGUAGUAAUAGUAGUAAAAGAUUGAUCAUUGUUCUGGUGUUAGCUAAAGUUGCGGUGACAUGUGAUGGUUUUUUGUCUUUGCCCAUGGCUGUUUUUAUAUUGGACUAUUAGUAUAAGUCGAUCCUGCAUUUGAAGUUUAUGAGUUUAUGCAACGUCCUCAAGUUAAUAGUCCAUAUAAAAUAACAACUAGGUACCACAAUUAAUAAUUACUUAACUUGUACAUCGUACUCUGCAUCCGCCACUGAUGGUCUAUUAGAGAGGUAGUUAUAAAGGAGAAGGCAUAUGAAAAAGAGUUUAAACCCACCUACCAUCACUCUCCUCCCUUCUCUUCCUCUAUAUGAAAAUAUUAAUCUAUACAACCGACUGAUCACAAAAAAGAGGAAAAAACAAGAAGAAUUUUGAUUAAAAACAAGGUAGGGUUUGCAAAUUUCGACCAUAUUCAGAGAAAAAUGUAUCAAAUAAUGUGUUUUGAGUCAUAAAUUUUUGAUCUUUUAGUAUAUUAGAUAGUGUGCAUAAAUUUAAUAAAGUACUUACAGUUUCUCUUUAAGUAAUAAUGUGUUGAGUCAAAUCAUUCUGAUAUAGGAACACCGCCAUUAGUAUGUUGACCCCCUUUUUUUUUUGAACUGCUUAAUGUAAUACACCCAUGAUAACUAUGUCUCGAUACCAAACAAGUUAAGUUCAUCAUAUAGAACUUCUAUGUCCAUAGGCAAAGGGUUACUUGGUUAUGCAAAUCUGAUGCACCUAUACAUGCCCUGAGUAGCAAAUCCCCCAUUCAAGAACUGCAAAAUAUUCUAACAGGUGGUAAGGUACAUCAUCAAAGCUCAAAUUUUGCAGAAAGCUAUAUAUACAUUUACUCUUAAACUUCUCAUGCAACAUGAGAAGUACCAUAUUUACAUUGAGAACGUCAAGGUUUUUUGGUAGAGAAAACUGAAACAGUAGGCACCUUGUGGCAUCUUUAUGUACGGAAGAAACCUAUGCAACUUUUAACUUAAGAGAACACGUGUAUACAUACAACUUUUAGCUUAAGAGAACACAUGUAUAUCUACAGUAAAACUUUCCAGCUGCUUGCUCUUUGCAGUCGGCUUCUGAUUCAAAAUCUUCUGGUCGGUGUGGCAGCGAAGCCACAUACAGGAGAGUCUUGCUAAGGCUGCACCACCAGCAACUCGAACCCUGUAAACCAAAUUCAAAUCAGCCCAAAUCUCGGAUCCAGACACCCUAGAGUCGAGGCUCGAAUCAUAUCCAUCUAGAUCUGUUUCGGUUAUCACAACUACAGCACCAUCAUCAAAGGCGAUCAAAUUCCGUCUAGCCAAGAACCUUGAGCUCAAUGAGAUCAUACUAGUCAAGGGGUUAGAGCUGUAUGUCUUUUUCACCAUGAUAUGGUAGAAAUCCUGGACAGCCUGAUUAUUAGUGGGAAAACAGAAUCAGCAACAAUAGCUAGGAAAAUAAAAACCAAGUCAACUGGAGUAUCACAUUAAGGGAGAAAAAUCAUGCAUCUAAGAGAAAGGAUCAAAAUAUGAGGCAAAUAUUUGGGACACCUGUCGCUGGGUAGAGGCCAAAAGCACCCUUGGACGAAUUGACUUCACAUAGUUAUAUGCAUCAUUUGGUGUCAUCUGCUUGUACUUAACCUACAAAAACAAAAGAAACUUUAGAAAGAAAAUGAGUAAAGUGAUUUCUAAACAAUCCAUUCAAACAAGUUCUAGUUUACCCACCAAGUAGCAUAAGACAAUGGUUGUGCUACGUCCUCGACCAGCCUUGCAGUGCACGUAUGUACUUUGUCCAUUGGAAGCAUUUUCUUAAAAGAAAAACAAGAAAAGUUUACUUAAAAGACUUAACCUACUAGUAAACCCUCCUCUGGGCUCUGGCAGUACUUUAAACAAUUCUGUUGGAAUUUUCUAUAGUUUCUGCCAGGGGAAAAGUGUAGAGGUUCAAUCUUGAUUAGGUAUGAAGGAAGAGGAGAGAAGACAAGAGGAAUAACAUAGAUAUUUAUUCAACCAAGGCUAAUUCUAUGGAAUUUUGUGUUCACCCUUAUUUGUUUCGACAGAAGGCAACAAAAGUGAAAACAAGUCAAUAUACAAAGUGGCAGAUACCUCAAAAAGUACUAUAUCCAAAUAGCAAGACCAGCAACUUAACACAUGUACUCCCUCGAUCACAUUUUAAGUGACAUAAUCACAAUUUAGUGAAUUGAACAAAUAUUUGAAUGGACCUUAACCAUGACACGGCAUUUGAAUUUGUAAUAUAUUUUUUAUUUGAUAAACAUGUAGUUUAAAGUACUUUUGUCUAGUCUCAAGAAUAAAAUUAGAUUAUCGAAAAAUCUGUGUCAACCCAAGAAUUGGACACUUCAACCCUCAGACUGUCAUUUUUGAUAUGAUGGAGACAGCUCAUAGUUCCAGAGUUUGGACAAUAGAUGAAUCUCAAGAUGGUAAGUGACAGUGAUGUCAUGACAAAAUCCCAAAAGCAUCCAGGAAUUAAGGUCAAAAAUGUUGACAAUAAAUCAACGAACUAGUUAAAAAGGGUAUGGGAAGGUACUUACCAUGGAUGAACUCUACUGCUUGACAUAUAUUAUUCAGUGAUGGCGCAAAUAAGUAAUCUCUUGUGGGGAGAACCAAAUGACGAAUAUCAUGAGCCUGCAAGAAAUAAUAGAUAACAAUAAUGUGAAGAAAAAAAAAAAAAAACACUUGAUCAUGUAAUGGGAAGGAAAUUUAAGUAACAAAUCCAUAGUGUAAAAGUACAUGAACUAGACAACUAGUUAAUAGGGAAAAGUAAAAUGUAGGAAUUAAGAAGUAAAAAACUUAACUUGUACUGGGGUGAGGUAGAAAGUCAACACUACUGUAUCCCAUAUUUAUAGAAUUGAUAUCAGUAAUACCGUGAAGAAGAUCAGACCACAAUCAGUAAAUAAAGGCCCUAAACAAGAAUUGCAACGGACAGAUAGACCAUUCACCAAAACAAGUUAGGCGCAUGUACAUCGUCCUCAGCUAAUGCAAUGAUACUCAACAUGUCCUUAAUGCGCAUUCCAAUUUCAUAGGGAUGCACAAAGGAAAUAAGAGGAAGGGGAUGAAGGUGAAGCUUGAAUGAAGACUGACUUAUCAUUUCUAUUUUUUAGAUGAGGAAAGACCGCAUGAAGGAGAAAACUUCAAUGUUGACUGACUUCUGUUUUUCCUUUUUGAUUUUGUUCUAGAUCGAUAAGGAAAGACUGACUUAUCUUUCUUUUAUUUUUGAGAUAGAAGACUAACUUGUCUUUUAAGUGAAGCAUAACAGAAAGAUCAAAACAAAUAUCAGUAAUAAAAGAACUAACCUCAUAUAAAGAAGUCGAAACUAAAGUCUCAUAUGGCUCAUUAAGGGUGACAACACCGGAGACACCAAGCUCCUUAAGCCUUUUCACAUCAGAUGGGAAAGGGACAGCACCUAAUAACACAAACUGAAGGAGAGAUUAAGUCAGUAAUACAAUCUUGUUGUACAGUAUAAUAUUAGAGUACAAACUACUACCCAACUAUUCACUAAAACUGAAGUGAAAGAACAUGAACAUCAAUCAACCUAUGUGAUCUUCCAAGAUGGUCAAUGCAAACACGCAAACUUAAUCUCCAAUAUGAAGAUAGAUGCAUAUGGAGUUACGAGAAAAGAAUUGCAGCUUAUAUCAUGAAAGUUUAAGAUGUAAGAAGACAUCUCUUAAGAUCCCUACAUGCACCUCCUUUACCUCACUGCACAUAUACUAGACAUUCUACAACCUUGAACAAAUAAUUCAAACAAAACCAGUAAAACAUGAAACAGAUAUGAGGAACGUCAAUAUCACUAUGUAUACUCUCUCCAAAAUCAGGCCUCCUAAUUUGAUCAGGAUGUUGGCAAACAUUGAAGUUUAUUGUAUUUAAAAGGAUUUGCUCUAGAGUAGGGAUAGAACUAUCUUUCUGAUCAAUGUCGACUUGUACUGAUAUAAAGGAGAAUCUCAAGUCACCUUUUGGUACAUAACAUUCUAAAACUUAUUAGAAUAUUAGAAAUACUUCCUAACUAAAGAAAGUAAAUAUUUUUUCAGGAAACAAAGAAGGAAAUGUAAGAGAGUUGAUCGGCAAUGGCAAUAGUGAGAGUAACUUACUUAAAGAAGAGCUCAACAAAUUUUCUAUUGGUUCAUCUUCCUGGAUAACAAUGCAUCUUUUGCCACAUGUCGAAGUUGAUGAUUAAAGGCAAAUUUCUUUUAGCAGAUUAUCACAAGAAAAAUAUUUUUCCCAGGUGUCAUUGUCUUGUCAUUCCAAGGACAGACGUUUAAUCAUCUUUCUAAUGCAUUUGAUACAGAGUACUAUACCAAUCUAUUACAAGCCUGUUUAUUAUUGACAAGCAUGUCCAAAGACAUGUUCUUUCAGAUAAAAACUACGCAAUUGAUAUUUCUACAAUUCAGUUGCACCUUCAUUUUCUGAAUAAUCAUGCAUAUAGUACUAUUGUUCAUCAUUCAUGACUUAGAAAUUCAGCAAGAUGUUAUAACAGUUCAACAUCAGCAAUCAAAGUAAUCAACUUUAAUGUAACUAAUUUUUUUUUUUAUGAAGUGUAACUAAUUUUUCCAGACAAAGCCUUUCAGAAAGAUCUAUCCUGCCUCAGAUGACAAUUAAUUAGAAUGAAUUUCUAAUAUAACUAGUUAAAAUUUUUAUCAACACAUUAUAUGAGUAUUUGGAUAUGCUAUAAGGAUUGGACAUUAUAAGCAAAAAGAUUCCAUCUUAUCUAAACAACUAUUGAAUCACAUUGACAUCAUUUGCACAAUGACACAUAUCCAUUUAAAAAGACCACAUAAUUCACUACAAGUGACAAGGCAUUCAUUACAAGUGUAUACACUAAAGCCAGGACAACAAAAAGUGUCAAAAGCAAGGAUGACGAAAGCUGGUAUACCUCAUCAAUCCAGUCCCACCAGCGAAACUCCACUUGAAUCUUGUUCCUAACAACAUUGUAGAGAAGUGUCGGGUAAAACAAAGCCCUAGCACCAACUCCAACCAUGACCCUCCUGACAUCCAACACAACAACAGCAUUCUUGCCACUACUGCCACUAGAACACAACAUCUUAUCAGCAGGAGAUGAUUUCUCUGCCUUCCCUACCACUCCACCCAUCUCCUCUUCCCCAGUCUCCAACUCUCCUCUCUUCUCUUCCUCUAUAUACAUGAUAAUACUUGAAACAGAAAAAAAAAAUCUAUACAACUGACUGAUCACAAAAAAAGAGGAAAAAAACAAAAUGCAGAACCCACUUACUAAAGAAAUUAAAACAAAAAAGAAGAUUUACACAACGCACUGAUAAACAAAAUGCAAAUUCCACACGAAACCACAAGCGUUCACCUAAAAUUCAAACUAAGAGACUUAUAAACCCAAUAUCACUCUCAUCACUGUCUUCAAAAUCAACAUAAAAUAAAUGGAUCCUUCUCUCAAAAUUAGGCAAAUUAUCAGUGAAAUGGAUCGGGGUCGCUGAAAGUGCAAUAAAGGUUCGAACUUGGAUUAAAAUCAAGGUAGGGUUUGCAAAUUUCAACCAUAUUCAGAGAAAAUUGUAUCGAUCAGACGGACAAGAUCUUGCGGAGAUGGUUGAGACCCUUGAUUUGGAAAAGCAAUUGAAUCCGAAUCGGUAAAAGAGUGGAGAUAGCUUGGAAUUGAAGAACCCUAGACGAUACUCUACUUGGGAAUUCAGAUUGUCCCCUUUCUGUGUGUGCCACGUAAUUUCACUCUUUUGUUAAAAUAUAAACUUAAAGUAAUUUUUGAUGGAAAAAUCACCCAUAUACACAUUUAAGAGUAAAUAUUACGGAUUUAAAAUCUACUUUUAAAAAAUUCUUGUUUAUAAUAGAUUAUUUACAGGUUAUGACAUAUCAAUUAAAUUAAAUUUUAUUUAAAAAUCAAAUUAUAUUUAUUUAAUAAAUUAUUAAUCUAUUUAAAGGUUUUUAUUAUUAAUUAAUAAUAGGUAAUUAAUUUGAUUUCACUUCCUUUUUUUAGAACUAAAAUUUUCAAUUACCCAAUUUUAGGGACUUCCCCCAUACACGUUUUCUUUCUUUGUUUAUCGUUACCAUCCCCAUUCGUCAAUCCCACCCCCCUCCCCCACUCUUAUUCACUUCUAGACGCCACAACCCACUAUCCCACUUUCACCAUUGUUUCUCAUCAAGUCUAACUUCAAAAUAGCUACCCCCUCCUCCACGAUUAUUCAUCAUCAUGUUUACGAAACCCAUUGAAACUCCUCGAAAGAGUCCCAGAUUUGAUGGAACUUCAAUUGAUGAUGUUCAUGUUCCAUCGUUCACUAUAUUAUCCCAAACACCCCCGCCUAAAACUGUUGAAAUUCCAGCGAGUGGUGGUUCCUCUCAAUCGAAGAAUAAAAAAGAUAAAAAUAAUGAAGCAAAGGAAAGUGUGAUUCCAGCAAAUCAAAAGGGGAAGAAAAGGAAGGAGAAAACACUUGUUGAAACCCCUCCUGAUUCUGAUUCCGAUUCCGAUUUGGAUUUUGUUAGUCAAACAAAAAAGAAGAAAAAAAUCAACAAAUGUUGUAAGGGUAAGUACUUUAUAACCAUCUACAAGAAGAAAAACAAAGAAGAAGGAAUCGGAAUUACCAAAAUACAAAAACCCCAAAAAAGUUGUAAGGGUAAGUACUUUAUUUAAUUUAUUUUCACAUUACUCAAAAUAGUUAUUAUGGAUUUGACUAUAAAAUUUGGGUGAUGUAUUUUGUAUGAAUUAUGAAAAGACUGUUUAUGGAUUUGACUAUAAAAUGGUAUGAAUUAUGUUUAACAUUAAUGUUAUUGUAUCUUAAUUGUGUAUAAACAUAUGAAUUAUCAGCAAUGGUGUUUUUGACAUGGGAGCUGUUGAAAUCGAUGCAAAGUACCAUCGUGAAAGGUAUGCCACAAUCUUGUGGCAUUAUGGACAAACAAAGAAUGAGGAUGGCGCGAUCACUAUUGGUACGGUUGCUAGCAAAUUUGGUGGACCUCGCAUAGCAAAAGAACAUGUUCCGGAUACCACCAAUUAUCCUACACCAAGACCACCGACAAGAGAUUUGAAAUAGUUCAUUGCAGCUUCUACUUUUUAAGAAUUACAUAUUAUUAUUUUUAACUUUUGGAUAAUUUUUUUCUGUUUAACUUUUGGAUAAUUUUUUUCUGUUUAAUUAUUUUAUGAUAUAUAAUACCAUAUGUUAUCUUCUAUUCAGAUACCAUCUACACAUGAAUUAGUAUUUGGCUAUUAUAAUUUCAGAACACUGGUAUUAUACAGACUUCAUACAAAUUGGAUUCACUAUUUUAAAGUAUCAUUGUGUUUCUAAGUAGUAAACUCAUUGGAUGAAACGUGUAUGAAAAUUGAUUUAUACGUAUAUGACUAUGAUUUUAAUAUAAGGGGUUGGGUAUUGUAUGAUUCGUGAUAUGAUUUUUAUAUACAAAUGUUAUGAAUUAAUUGUGUUUUCACAUUUGUUUGAUUUUCUUUUGAAUCUUCAUAUGGUAUGAAUGACUAAAUUGGUAUGAAAAUGAUAUCAAUUGUCAAACUAGUGAUUUUUUCUAAAAAUGUCACAUUGUAACAACCCAUUUGAUCAUUUUGAGUACUAGAGCUUUUUAUUUCAAAAAAUACUUUCCGAUAGAUUGUAAAUGGAUAUUUUGGACUAUUCAUAACUACAAUUAUGAAAUUAGUGGGGUAGUUUUAAUAAUAUACUUAGUUGGUGGUUAUAGAAGAUAGCAUUAAAAUUAAUAGUGGGUCACUUUUACACUUUUAUAAUUAGUCUAUAAAUAGUUAGAGUAGUAAAUAAUCUACAAAAGAAAGAAGAAAGAAAAUGAGGCGAGAAAUUUUUUCAACGGGGUCGACCUAGAGCGAGUGACUGCUCUUUCAGGUGAGAUCUUUGAAACUUUUAAUCUUUUUAUAUACGUAGUGUAACCAGUAUUAUACAGACUUCGUACAUUUCGGAUACAUUAUUUUAAAGUAUCAGUGUGUUUCUAAGUUGUACACUCAUUGGAUGAAACGUGUAUGAAAUCUAAUUUAUAUGAAUAUGAGUAUGACUUUAAUAUUAAAUCUUGGAUAUUGUAUGAAUUGUGAUAUGAUUUUUUAUACAAAUGUUAUGAAUUGUGUUUUCACAUUUGAUUAUUUUCUAUUCUACACAUAUUGUUUGAAUGAAAACUGAAUUAAAUUUGAUUAAUAUGUGUAUGACCAUAACUUCAGCUAAAGUUGGAAUGAAACAUGAAUACAAUUGGCAUGCAAUUUGUUAUAAUUUUAUUUAUAAUAUGACACCAGUUGGAAACCAAAUUAAUAUUCAUGAUAACUUACAUUAAAUACUCGAGAUAUCAAAUGAACUCCAUAAUUACCUUCUUAUAAUUAUCACUAAUAUAUACAAUAUCUUUAAACUAGAAUAAAUUUAAUUUGUAACAGUAUGCAUUAUGUAUGAUUACUGAAUGAACAGUGUAUAAAGAAUGAACAGUAUAUUAAACACUAAGCUAUAAUGCACUUCAAACCAAUUAUGUUUCAUAUCAAAACAAAACAUUAAUAUAACCAACAAAAUAAACUGUUGUGGCCAACUUGACGACAUCUACUGCAGGUAACUUUAGACCUUUUGAAUUUCACUCAGCAAACCCCUUCCAGCGUUCAAGUUGCGGUCUUCCUACCGUUCUCUUUCGACUCUCGCAAGGGAUAGGUUCACAUAUAAAAAUCAUUAUAAUAACAACAAAAUUAUACCCAAUACCAACUUAAAACACUUGUCAUAUAAUUUGUCAAACUUCCAAAUAACUUUUUUUACAGAUUACUGAACACACUUUCAUAUAAAUUUCAAUUUAUUUAUUCUAUCAAAUUCAUUAUCAACUUAAAUCACUUUUCAUACAAUUCGUCAAAAUUCUAAAUAACUUUUUUAAUAGAUUACUGAACACACUUUCAUACAAAUUUCUUUCCAUUUAUUCUAUCAAAUUCAUUCAAAAAUAUACAUUUAAUUUAUACUUNNNNNNNNNNNNNNNNNNNNNNNNNNNNNNNNNNNNNNNNNNNNNNNNNNNNNNNNNNNNNNNNNNNNNNNNNNNNNNNNNNNNNNNNNNNNNNNNNNNNNNNNNNNNNNNNNNNNNNNNNNNNNNNNNNNNNNNNNNNNNNNNNNNNNNNNNNNNNNNNNNNNNNNNNNNNNNNNNNNNNNNNNNNNNNNNNNNNNNNNNNNNNNNNNNNNNNNNNNNNNNNNNNNNNNNNNNNNNNNNNNNNNNNUUUUUUUUUCAUUUCACUGUAAUUUAAAAACAAACAAUAAACAUUAAUAAAUACUAACAUGAAGUAUCCCAUCUUCCACCAUGUUUAAUUUUUUCAAAUAUAAAAAAAAAAACUUCAAUUACUCGAUACUGGGAAUUUUUUCUGGCAGAACAAUGAAGAGAGAGAAAGGAGAUAAAAUCUUAUUUUUACUUGAUUUUAACUAAUUUGAGUGAAUUAAGAAUACUAAAUAAUCUUAAUUAGGUUGGAUCCCUUAUUUUGUGUCAAUUAUUAAUUAUCUACACUAAAUUUAAAUUAAAUUAACACCACAAUUUCAAUUUUUUUACCUUUUUACCAUCAAUUCUGAUUUUUUUAAUUCUUCUUUUAUUGUUUUAUUUUUUUUAAACAAAUUUUUUCAAUUAUUAAAAACAUUUUUUUUUAUAAUUUGUUAGAACCUGAAAUUUUUAAUGUUAUAACUUGAAAGUCUAAAUCUACUGCUAUAACUCAAAAAUAUUAACAUAAUAUAUGUCAUAUAUGAAAUUUACACAUUUUUUACAGUGACGUGGAAACCCCAAAUGACAAUUCACGAAUCACGUUUAAGCCUAGUAUUUUCUGGUAAGGCCCUUAUGAUGAUUUUUUUAUAUUAUUUUUGGUUUUCCUACGGCACGGCACGUUCAGGGUUGGCGCUCUGAACAAAAAAAAUUCAUACCCAGAACUUGAAUUCGUAAUCUUUGGUUAAGAAUAAAACAAUCACUCUACUGCACCACAACUCAUGUUGGUCCUUAAGAUGAUUUCUAAGGACACAUAACAACAUGUUAAUAGCAUCCUCGAUACUGAGUCAUCUUUGUUAGAGAGCAUUUGAUAAGGCUCGAGUGCGAAUUCAAAUUUAGUCAAGUUCCAAUAAAAGUAUCGAACACAGAUUAAAAAAAGCACUAAUCCUAGCUCUACAGUCACUCUUCUAAUAUAGUAGGGAAAAAAGUAUUUCUUUUAUGGGAAAAUUAUACAUAAUGGCAAACUAUUAAUUCAAAUUAAAUGGUAUAAUCACACUUUGAUUUAAUUGUGUCCUGUAGCAAACUGUUUGCCAGCGCCUCUCUCCCUCAAAAUCUCGCUCGCCACUCUCCUCUCCCGCUCACUCUCUUUGUGCUCGCCUCUCUCGCUUUAUACAACAGAAGAGUAUAAAUUGCGUUUCUGUUUGUAUAAAGCGAGAGAAAAUUGUAUAUACACAUGCAAAUACAUAUAUAUUCGUCCUAUACACUUAUAAUUAUACAAUAAAAAUAUUCCCCUGCCCAGUUUUAUGUUUGUAUAAUGUAUAAUUUAUGUUUGUAUAGCGAAAUUAUACAAUUCUGAAGAGGAGCCAACGAAUUAUACAAUUGCUUCUUUUUGUAUAUAUGUAUAGCGAAAUAGACAGCUUUCAAUUGUAUAUGUAUAGCAAAUUAUACAUAUAUAUGUUUGCUAUGGAGCGCAAUUAUGCAAACUUUGCUAUAGCAUACAAAUAUGAUUUUUUUGUUUGCUAUAUGUGAAAGUUGGUCUUCUUUUAUUGCUCCAAGGUGGUUAGAAACAACAAUUUUAGGAUGUCCAAGAAUUCUCUUUUGUUUUUAAGUAUUACCAUUUUGUUUUAAAAUAAAUGUUGUUUUAAUCUUUUUAUUUUUUUAAAAAAUAAUUAGUGUUUUCUUUCAGUUUAAUCUUUAUCCAAAUAACGAAAGUAUUACAUAAUAAAAGAAAAUCAUAAUACAUAAACAUGAUCCUUAGCUUGACAUCAACGGACAACUAUGCCCUAUAACUUUGAGUGUGCACAAGUAGACACUUAAACUUGUAUAAAAUUGAACAAGUAGACACACAUGUCCUACAUGGCAUAAUAUUGUCACGACCCAAAAUGAGUCGUGAGUGGCACCCACAGCUAACCUCCUAAUGGGCGAACCAAGGAAUCCAAACCCCAACAUAUAUCAAUAAUUCAACUACGAAUAACAACAAUAAUGCAGAAGCUCAAAACUUAUUAAAGUAACCAAUCAAAUAAACCUCUAAAGUCUAACACUUAUUAUCCCCAAAAUCUGAAAGUCAUCACAUCAAGGACAUCUAAUCUUCAAAUACUAAAGUCUAAGAGUAUUAAAAGACAUCAAAAUAAAUGAAUAAAAUAGUUUAUGUCUGAAAACUAAGGACAUCAUGCCAUGGCCAAGAGAAUCCAACACGAGCUGGAAUGAAUACCUCACCCUGGAACCUGAUGUGUUGGAGACUGGCUAGAGCUGAGGGCGAGUCGAAGUCACNNNNNNNNNNNNNNNNNNNNNNNNNNNNNNNNNNNNNNNNNNNNNNNNNNNNNNNNNNNNNNNNNNNNNNNNNNNNNNNNNNNNNNNNNNNNNNNNNNNNNNNNNNNNNNNNNNNNNNNNNNNNNNNNNNNNNNNNNNNNNNNNNNNNNNNNNNNNNNNNNNNNNNNNAAACGUGACACUCCAAUCCAAUUAUAUCGUGUCGGAACGUGACACUCCGAUCCAUAGUAUCAUUAAUUUAUCAUUUAUUAUCACCACUUUUCAAUUCAUUAACAACAUUUCAUCAAGCCUUCUUAUUCAAGGAAUCACUUCGAUAGAAAGAGUUCAAGAUUAUAAAUUUCAUGGUCUCAGGAUUUCAGACCAAUCACAAACCACACAAUCACACAAUCAAGUACAUAGAAAACUUCACAAUAUCACUCAAUGCAUAUCAAUCACUAUUAAGAGUCUAUCUAUCAAAUGGAAUAAACCAUAACCUACCUCCACCUAAGAACCGAAGUCAAUCAAGCUACUUCUCUAAUACUUUUCCUUUCCUCAAUGCCUCCGAACCUUUUCAAUCUAUCAAGUAUAUAUGCAUAAUUUGUAAGUUAACGAGUCUAUGAACACUCAUAUUAUUCUAUGUCUAGCUUAGACUCAAAAACUCACCUAAUUUUAUAAUCAAUUUCCUAAAGUUCAAACCUAAUGGUAAGUUUUAACUCCUCCAAUUAGCAUAACUUUAGUGAAAUUUAACUAAUUCAAUACACCUAAUAUUUAAUUACUUAUCUCAAUAUAGUCUAUAAUGUGAGAACAAAAUAUUUUAAUAUAUAAAGGUGGAAGCCACUGGUUGCGAAACUAGUGGCAGACUAACAACAACGUCCAGAACUUAAAUUUGAUUAACAGUCAUUGUACAACCUUAGUUUCUCCUCAUAAUUGUUUGAUCUCCACUUUCCAAUCACAUGCACCCUUUUAAACUAAUUCAAUGUCAUCCUUAAUAUAGCCAUAAUAAUAAUAAUCCUAUAACAAUACAAUAAAAUAAGGACCACCACGUUACCACCAGUAACUUGAACAACCAUGUAUUUUAACCCCUAAAUCUAUCAUAUACUGCCAAUUAUCAUUCCCCAAUAGUCAUCAUUACUUAUUAAUUACCCACCAAAACUUAUUCUAAAAUCAUCCAAUUUAAAAGACAUAGCAAAUAGGAAUUGUCGUUUAACCUUAAAGAACCCAAAAUUUCAGCUAUAAUCAAUCAUUCUCUAUAUAUCCAACAAUAUACAUAAUAUGACGUCUUAAUGUAUUUAUCAAAUCCAACAUAUGAACGCACGCAGAGUUUGUGAAAACUUACCUGAUGCUAUCGCCGUUUUACUCGCCUCAAAUCCUUAUUCCUUCUACAAAAUACUUACUCUCUAAUUAUUAUAUAAGACCAACUAUAAAAUGGUAAAAGUGACCCACUAUUAAUUGUACUGUUAUUUUAUUUAACUUUCAACUAAAUAAAUUAUUAAAAUUACCCCACUAAUUUCAUAAUUAUAAUUACGAAUAGUCCAAAACACUCAUUUAAAAUCUAUCGAAAAGUAUUUUAUGAAAUAAAAAGCUCUAGUACUCAAAAUGACCAAAUGGGUCAUUAUAAAUACACGUAGGAAGCCAUGUAUGACACAAAAUUGCCAUGUAGGACGAAUCUAUUUGUUAAAUUUUAUACAAAUUUAAGUGUCUACGUGUGCACACCCAAAGUUAAAGGUCAUAAUUGCCAACUAACGCCAAGCUAAGGAUCAUGUUUAUGUAUCAUGCCUAAAAGAAAACUACUACUAAAGAACUAGUACAUCUUUUUAAGGUAUAUAUGAAAGAUAAGUUUAAUGAAAAUAUAUGAUAGUAGACUUGAAAUAUCAUAUAUAAUACGUUAAGGAUAAUUUUAAGAUAUUUAUGAUAGAUAAGUUAGUGAAAAUAUGUGAUAAUAGACUGGAAAUAUCAGGUGUAAAUGCUAAUAGAAUUAUUAUAUUUUAUUAUAACUUAUCAAAUAUGAAAAAAUAAGUGAAAUAAUAAAAGAUUGUUGAUCAUUUAUUAAUGCUGGUGAAGGAGUUGUAAUGUUUGGGCUGCUGGGAUCACUAUCCUGGGCUAUGAUUCUUGCAGCUUAUUGAGGGGCCUUAGCUUACUGUAUAAUUAUUUUUGGGCUGUACCUAAGUAACCAUCCUUAUCAUAGGAAAUAUACUAUUUCAUUUUUACUAUUAAGCAAUAUGAUUGUUUUUUCGAAUUAGUUACUUAAUAUAUAGUUAUUUUGGCUAAUUUCAGACAAAAGUAAGUUCCUUCUUCACUUUUUCCUCGAACCUCCUCUUCUUUUUUUUCAAAUUUUAAUUCGGUGUUGGUACGGAGAGUUUAUGCACGCAUGAAUGUAACAAAUACAAUCGUCUGAUAUUUUAAAAAUAUGUAAAAAUAAUAAUAGUGGAAACAUAUAAUACAACUAGUAAAAUUAAUAUCACAUAAUUUAUAAAAUAAUACUUACAAUCUAUCCGUCAUUAAAACUAAAAUGCUAUAUUAUCUUACAUACAAGAUUACGUAGUAACGAACAUUAAUAAUGUAAAGGAAAAUACUAAUUAUAACAUCUUAUCAAAUAUCCUUCAAUCAAUCAUCUUUAAUUUGAUUUUAUAAUUUAUCCUUUUGCCUCCAGGAAGUAUUGCUAUUUGAUAUUUUAGGGAAAUUAGAUGAACAUCAACAUGAGAUAUUAAAUUUUCUAAUAAAUAAAUAAUAUUUAUAUGUACUAGCAAAUACUUAUAAUAAUAACUUUGCAGAAACAUAAACAACAAAGUUUAAAACAUGUACUAAAAAACAACAAUUAAUAUCAUAAGCAUAAAUUAAUGACUGUAAAAAAUAUAUACCAAGAUCUAUAACAAUAGAAUGAAAUAGAAAGGAAAAAAAUUGAGCCCACUGAAUGCACGGAGUCCCCUUAAGAAAAUUAUCUCCCUCUAGUACCCGAGGUUUAAUAGAAUAGAUCCUCUCAGGAUGAAACGAUUUUAUUCACAAGUAUAUUGAUACAAAAACAAUGGUGUCAGUGAGCCAUUCAACAGGAGUAAAGUACUUGAAUAUUUAAUUGUGCAGAAGAAGAAGUCUAGAAUUUUCAUUAUUUUAAAAUGAGAGGAAAUCCCUCUAUUUAUAGACAACAUAAGAUAGUGUGAAUGAAUGAUUAUUGUGCUUUAUCGAAAAUGUCACAACUCUUCGAAAAUGUCAGAACCUUUCAUAAACGUCACAAUUUUUCAUAAUAGUCGUAACUCGUCAUAAAAGUCGCAACUCUUCAUAAAAGUCACAAUUUUUCAUAAAAGUCACAUCUUUUCAUGAAAGGGGAUGACUAUUUUUGGGUAACUCUUCAUAAAAGUCAAAUUCUUCAUAAAAGUCAUAAUUUUUCAUAAAAGUCACAUCUUUUUAUGAAAGGAGAAGACUAUAUUUGGAAAUAAAUAAAUUUAAAAGGAAAUUUUUAGCUGGUGAUGGUGCCACGUAUGCAGACCUAGGGUUCUCUUUUAUAUAAAUAUAUGAUUCAACAAAUACAGACGUUUAACACUUAAAAAUAAUACAUACAAAUAUAGGCACAUAGGUGGAAACACAUGAUACAAUCUAAAUCCACUAUGAAAUACGAAUCCAAUAAAUAUAAUACAUCUCAAAGAAUAUAUAAAUACAGUUGUUUGAUACCUCAACAAAGGGUGAAAAUUCAAAAUACAGAUAAAGAGGGUGGGGGAAGAUAGAUUUAUAGAUCGUUAAUUAUAUACCCAAAUGAUAGUCAUGUUUGAAAUUUUCUCAUUUAUUUAUUCACAUCAAAAGAAAAAAGAUCUGAAACUCCAAUAGUUGACACACCACUAUAUAUUAUAAUAUAAGUACUUCCUCCAUUUUACUUAGUGUCUCUUAAAAGAACGAUUUUUUUUUAAGACAAACUCUUUAGUUUCAGCUUUUCACAUAACAUGUUUAAGCCAUCAGAUUAAAAGAUAAUUUUAAUACAUUUUUAUAUAUCUUUAGUUUAAAACCACGAAAUAAAUAAAAAAUCUUUAAUGUGAAAAGGAGGGAGAGUACUAGGUAAAACUAUAUAUGUCAUUUACUAUAUAUGGCGUUUACUUGAAGAAAUGCUGAUUAGAGCUUUAAGAAGGAUUCGAGACUGGACCAUUCAACAAAGGUGGACCAUGCAUAGGCAAUAGCUCACUUUUGCUUUUUUUGUUUUGUCCUUUAAUUUUCUACACUAACUUGGAAUAUUAAUUGGAUCACACUUUUAUAUGGAUGUGAUGUGAUGUGAUGUGAAAGGGUUAUAUAUUCAUAUAUAUUGAAUUAUAUAGAUCUUAAAAGAAAAGAUUUUUUUAGUCUUCUAGAAGGAAAAAUAUCGCAAAGAGAAGUUCAUGAUAUCUCUUUCAAAUGAAUUGUCAAAAAUUUAAAAUUUAUGAAUCGUGAAUUCAUAUAACAAUAUAAUUUAGUUAUUCUAUUCAUACAUUUAAUAUAUCUCGAGAGAUCUAAACAAAAGUUAUUUGAUUUGUUCGAGCCAACGCCUCUGGCAUGUGACAAGAGUCACAUUUUUUUAUUUUUUGUUACAUAGAAUUCAUUCAACUUUAAUGGUUAUUGCAUAAAAUUAUUUAACUUUUAAUUUAUCACACAGUUAUACUUCUAUUUUUUGUCAUAUAAAAUCAUUUAAUUUUGUCCAAAUUAUAAAUAAAAAUAAAUUUCACCUAAGUUUUUAUAUCUCAUAGUGUACAUUUUAUAUGUGGAUCUAAUUUGUUUUCAAUGUGGCUAAAUAUUCGACAAUUUAAUUGGAUGAAACACGUUGUGAGAGUGACUUUCCUUUAGAUAUCUAUUUUUGGGUGAGUCAACUCUAUAUUUAGUUUAUUUUCCAUAUUAAUAAACUACAAGAUCAAGACAAGGUAAAUGUUGAUUGAUCUAGACUUAUUAAAUUGUUUUCCCACACAAUCCCACCAAAAGAAUAUUAAAACAAAAUAAUAUGAGGCAACUUUAGUUAUCGAGGAUAUGAUCUAGAUAUAUAGGAGAGUACUUAGGCCGCAGAUAGUGGCAGAGCCACCUUAUAGUUAGGGGUUCAUCCGAACCCCUUUCGAUGGAAAAAUAUAUUAUUUAUACAUGGUUAAAAUAUGUUUUUAGAUAUAUAGUAGAUAUUGGACUUCGUGUGUCUAUGUCUUCAAAUUUUAAAUUCCUUAUUGAAAAUCUUGGCUCCGCUAUUGGACAUGAAGGGUGAUGGUCAAGUGUUCUGGCAUGAUUCGUUGUCAUGGAAAAAUCCAUUUGCUUGUAGCACUACAUAAAAAGUUUGAUAGUUUUGGCAACAUUGUAUGUUUUAUAUAUUGGAGAUUUCAAAGAUUUUAAUUGUCUUUAUAUAUAUAUACCAUAUUAUAGUAAGCUAAGCAUGGUGUGGACAACUCGUAAAUAUAUAAGAUAUGUAAAAUACUUUGCCACAGCUAGUUUUAAUCUUUUGUUAUUAUAAUAGUAGUAUAAAACUUGUUUAAACUAAUUAAAAUUAUUGUACUCGUGCUUUACAUGCUUGAUUUAUUAAGUUUACUCGAGUUGAGGGUCUAUUAAAAAUAAUAUUCUUCUUACAUUCAUUUGCAAGAUAAGAUAAGAUUGCGUACACACUACCAUCUUCAAACUUUGCGUAUAGGAAUAAACUUUAAAGUGACGAAAAUUGUGUAGAUUUUUUUCGUUAGUUCCCAAACUUUAUUAGUCACUAGUGGUAGCAAAUGGGCGGGUUGGGUCAAAUUUUGGCAGGCUGAAAAUGGGUCAAUAUAAAAUGGGUAAUAAUUCAACCCGCCCAUAUUUGAUAUGGAUAAAAAUGGAUUGGGUAACAAAUGGGUUGGAUAAAAUAUUAGUUUACUCAUAUUUACCCAUAUUUUCAUUAUAGAUAGUACUCUACUUAAGAAUUCAACAUGAAGAAAAUAUUUUAGUCCUUUUUUUAGAUGAAAAAUAUUGAAAAUGCUUCAUUUAGUUUUGUUGUAUCAUGAAAGUAAAAAAAAAUAUCGUAUAACUUUUCAAUAUAAAAUAAAUCUAUGUAAUAACAAGGGGAAAAUAUUUUUAAUUUCAAAGUAAAUGAAUAUUUGCAUUUUAGGACUAAAAACAUGCUUAAUGCACUUUAAGCAAUGUCAAUACUAAUACAUAAUUUGCUUAUUUUACACUAUUAUUUAUUAUCCAAAUAUAAAAAUUAAACAAAUAAAAAAUAUAAUUAUAAUUAACAAAAGAAAUGUACAUUUAAAAAAUAUAUUUUUGAAGGGCCAAAAAACUUCACCUUUUCAAUUAUAGAGAAAAAUAAUUAGUUCGGUAGAAGAACAUAAAAAGAAAGAGAAGUUACAAUAUUUUUAGUGAUAUUAUGAAUUUUGAGUGAAUAAAAGUUAGAAGUUUAACUCAUUUGGCUAAUCUAUAUUUUACCCAUAGUUUACCCAUAUUUUUAUGGGUUGAAUAUGAAUAUCAGUUCAUAUUUUUCCCAUGUAAAAAAUUACUCAUCCAACUCAUUAAAAUAUAAACGAAUUAGACAGAAUACUAAAAUAUGAGCUCAUUUUACCGACACUAAUCACUGCCAUAGGAUUCUCUAUAGCUGGACAAAGCUGCUACAGAAAAAAAGGAAAAGAGGAAGAAGAAGUAAAGUUGUUUUUAAAACAGAAAGGAAUAAAGGGAAGAGGAAAAAGGAAAACCGAUUAAAUUAAUUUAAAUUAAAUGGGAAUAAAGGUAAUCUUCUUGUUUUUUGACAAAGACUAACCCUACUAUAGAUGACUAGCCAUAAAGGCAAAAUGUAUGGUUCAAAUUGCAGACGUGGUAAUGCACGCAUGUUAUGUUAGAUGAGAAAAGACACAAAAAAAUAAAUAAUGAGAAAAGAUAAAAAAUGUUUUCCAUCGGUGUUCUAGAUUCGCGCCACGUAUGACCUAUUAGCGUUGUUUAUCAAGGAUAUUUUCAUCUUCAGAAGUCAAAUUCGAGACUUUUGAUUGAGGAAAGAGCAACUCCAUCCACUUCACCACGUAAGAGAUGCUAGUUUUUUCAAUUUUUAAACGACAACUGGCAUUCGAUUAUUCUUUGUCCAUUUUUAGUGUUGUUAAAUCAAUUAGUAUAAUUUGUUUGUCUUCGCAUGUACUUAAGUGCUCGUUUGUACGAAGAAUAAGGAAUAGUUAUUAAUUUCGUAAUUAAUUUAAAAUACGUUUAUUUUAUGUUUUGAUUGAGAUAAAAUUAUAAGAUAAUUUAUUUUGGGAUUAUAGUGUUAUUUUUAUCCCAUAUUAAGAAUGACGGAGCAAGCCACAAAUAUAAAGAGAUAUUAAUAUGGUGCAAAAGAGAGAAAUAAAAUACCCUCUAAUUAAAAAAAUUCUUACAAGGGUGUGCAAAACAAAACACACCCUUGAUUCCUUUUUAUUUGUCACAAUUUCUUUUUUAGAGUAAAACUAUAUGAACUUUGACUAAUAUUUUAAGAGUAUUUUUCACCAUUAUUGAUAUGAAAAAAUUUGUAAUUUUUAGUACUUUUUAUAUAGUUUUUAAAUAUCUAAUUUUUUAUUUUAAAAUAUUAAAUUAAUGUAAAACUUUGAAAGUUAAUACUUUCGAAAAAUGUAACGCGACAGCUAAAGAGGAACGGAUGGAGUAUAACAAGCAAGAUGGACCAUAGGGAGAAGUUUCUUCCUCAUUAAUACUUGAUAUUGAUUUGUCAGGAAGAAGAAUCAUCUUACCAAGUUGAUCUGAUUAUAAAGUCAACUCCAACAUUAUUGUAAUGAGCAUUAAUUAAUAAUAACAUGUUUAAUUGAACAAAUUCAAGCAUUAGCCACCGAUAUCAUCGAUCCACUUGCUCUAAACCAUCCAUUUUUCAACUUCAUUAUUUUGAGAAUGUAUAAUAGCUUCUUCCCAUAUUUUUUAAUUAAAGAGAAAAGGGUCAAAAAUGCCCUUAAACUAUGUGAAAGAAACAAAAAUGUCCUCCGUUUAUAGUUUGGCUCAAAUAUGUCCUUAUCGUCAAUACUUUGGUUCAAAAAUGUUAUUUGCAAAUAAUUAUAAACGGAGGGCAUUAAAUUAUGUUUGCAGAUAAUUAUUCAACUUUUGAUUUAUUACACUAAAAUUACUCAGCUAUGUUUAUAUCUUAAAGGAAAUUUAAAAAUAUCGACAAAAUGAUAUUUUUUUCUUUUUCUUCGUAUAUUUAUUUUGGGAUCCCACUAAUUCAGCAUUUUCGAUAAAAUGUUUUGUUUGACUCUACAAACACAAAUAUCUCUAUAGUAGUACCAAGCAAAAACGUUUUUUUCCCUCUAUUAGCAAAAUUGUGACACAAUAGUAAUCUUUAACCAUGACUGCAAGGAAUUGAAUGUCAAAUGUAGGCAGUAGGCCAAUACUAUGCUUUUUCACAAGUAGUAUUUUGUCAAAACAUGAUUCACAAUACACAAUUGUACAUAGCCAAAAAUAAAAGCAAUCAUGACUGAAUAAUUUUAUUUUAUUUUUCCAUUUGUUAUCUGAUAAUCGUAUUAAGGUUUGAUUAGUCCAAAUUUGUAUAUUACAUGACUCAUUGUUAAAGGCGGUGCUUCCAACAAAAUUAAAAAAUGAGACGGAUCGAGGUAGAAGAUCUCUAACCAUGACCAUAAUGCAAUAACAAUAUGUAGAUAGUAAUCAAUAUGGAUCGUGGUGAAAUGAUUGAGAUUCCUCUAUCCUUGACCAGAAAUUUCAUAUUCGAGCCCUAAUAUGCCGAAUGAAAAAAGAAGACAAUAUGCAGAUAGUAAACCAAUUCAAAACUUGAAACACAAUACACAACUGUACAUGCUAAAAAUUAGAGCAAUCAUGCCAGAAUAAUUGAGUAUCUUAGAAAGGAAAUUAAAAGGACAAAAAAACACUCUCAUUCUUAAAACUAAGUACUGAUUUUUGUCAUAUUUCCAAACAACAACCAUAUUGAACAUGACCACUAUAUUCAUCAGAAGUUUCUACUUUUGUCCAUUUUUUCACUUUGCCAUCACUCUCCACAUCCAAAUCCAAAGCAUAAAUACUAUAUAGUUCAUCAAAUUGGCCCCUUCCCACCAAUAUCAACUUCCCUUGACACGCUGUCAAAUAUGCCACGCUGGUAAUCCCUGCUGGCAACCCCCGACACGAUGUCAAAUAUGCCACGCUAGUAAUCCCUGCUGGCAACCUCGUCAACUUCCGCCACGUAGGAUCUUCCUUCACUGCCACGUCACCGCCUCGGCACAUGUAUAAUUUCCCAUCAUCACCUUCAAUGCAACUAUGAGGAGAAGUGUUGAUCACACUCAAGAAGUCAUCUUCCAGUUGCCACUGCCACGUGGCGGUGUCGAACACCUCAGCAUCAUUCUCAAAGUGACCUUGCGCCCACGUAGGAUAACCGCCGAUGACGUGGAAUUUACCUUUGUGAAAUACAACCUUACAUUCGUCUCUCUCCAUGACCAUGUCAGGAAGUGUAAUCCACUCGUCUUUAACGACGUCGUAUGAGAGCGCCGAUUUCAUCGCAUUCUUUUCGUCGUCAUGGCCACCGGCGACGACGAUCAUUCUAUUGGAAUCCGAUGCACAUCCGAAGAAUGACCUCUGCUGACCUGGCAUAUCCGCCCCACGACGCCAUGACCCGGAUAUGAAAUUGUAAACGAAAACACAAUCCAUAACCCGCCAAGUAUCCGGAUCACACCCGCCAAUCACUACUAAAUCCGACCCGACUCCAACAAUCCGGCAAAACCUCGGCAAUCCAUCAAUCAACUCCGGUAUCGGCGGCAAAUCAUACCAGGAGCCGUUUUCCGGGUCACAUACAGAGAGCCGGUAAACCUGAGUAGAAAAAAGUGCAGUAUCACCCUCUGGUUUUUUCACAGUAGCAACCAUAGAUUGUACCAUGGCGAAAACGGUUCGGGUCAACCCAGAAACUUUCCGCCGGCGGCGAAACUCCGGCAACGUGAUCUCGCCGUUCCAUUUUUUGCAUACUGAAGCUGCUUUAGAAAAUUGAUCAACAGGUAGACGUAUGAGACAUUCAAGAGCUAUUUCAUUAGGUAUCCCCGGGAUCAGGUCCAUGGCCCUAGCUCGCCUUUUUGGUAUAUUAUGAUUUGGUCGUAAAUUUGUAUGGAAGAAAAUAUUUGAAGUAAAUUUAGUUAUGUUUUUUCCUUUUUCAGAUUUAGUAGAAAGGGAAAUAAAAUCAUGAAUUUAUGGGGCAAAAUGAAAGGACAUAAUUUAUGGAACGUUGGUUUGACAAAACUGUAAGCGUGACUGGGUCCAGUUUUAUAGUGUUCGUUGGGGAUGGAUAAUGAGUAGUGAAACAAGUUAAAGAGUUUACUUUGUGAAGUAGCAGUGGGGGCAAAGUGGAGGGCACAGAGUCCAGAGAGGUUGUUUUCAGAGUAAUACACACAAGUACUGCAACUUGGUGAAUACGGCUAUAAUCAAAAUUAUAAUUGGCUGGCUAUAAUAUUUAUAGAGUAAUUACAGGCAUAUAACGCGUAGAAGUUCUUGCGAUUGUCACGUGCCAUGACAUCAUUUAUUUAUUUUUUAUCCGAUCUAUAUUAUAUUGUAAAGUUAAAUUGUUCCUAAUUAUAAAAUGGUGACAUUAUUUUUGAGACAGACUAAAAAAAAAAAGAGCGUUAAAUAAAUUGAAACAAAGAGAGUAUCUCACAAGUCAUAUGGUCUCUACAUCAAAUAUAUAGCUAGGUUUAUAAUUGUAAAAUAAUACAUUUAUGUUAAGACUAUAUUUUGUUAAAACAACCCCACAUUAUUAUAUCUACUAACCAUUUAUUUCAUAUGUAAAUAAAAUCUAUAAUCACAUCAUUAUUUUUUAAAAUUUAUUAUUCUCACCAACAUAAAAUUCAUUAUUAAUUUUAAAUUGACGAAUAUAAAUGAUAAAGUAGAAAUUGAUUUGGUGAAUACAAAUAAGAAUCGAGGGAGUAAUAUUUUUUUGGUUUUUCAUAGUAAAAAAAAAAUCUCUUUCGGCUAAAUAUGAAAAUGUUUAAAACAAUUUAAUAUUAAAAUGGACAAAAUUGGUGAUGUAUGUUUGAUAGUUACUACUUCCAGUAUGUUUGAUUUUAGCACGAAACUAAUGCAUUGAAAAUGUGCAAUUGCACACAGGUGAAAUAAGGCAUGAACCAUUAUGAUAUUGACACACACGUGAAAAUUGUCAUAGCUUGUACAAUGUCACAUUUUGCGAGAAUACCAAAGAAGUGAUGGAAUAUUUAUGGUCUAUGAGCAUGAAAAUAUAGUUGCGGAUGAUAUUGACCAACAAAUGGCUCAAAUUAACAAUGUUGGUUCGUCUUCUUUGUCAUAUGAUCGAGAUAUGCAAGUUCAACGUGAGGAGAUUGUAUGUAUUAUGUGGGAGAAUUAUAUUAAAGAUCAGUACGUACACUACAAUUUUAUGUUCAAUUUUUUUAUUGAAUUAAAGUUUGAUCAAUUAAAAUUAGAAGAAAUUGUUACUUAAGUGGAGAACAAAUAACUUUGUAAUAAUUUAUUAUGCGAUUUUAUAAAUUUUUGUUUAUUUUAUAAGAUUGAAUAAACAAUUGGGGGCUAUUUUAAUAGUUUCACAACUUAUAGAAUUCUUAUGUUUAUGAGAAAAUAUACAACACACAUAUUCAAUAUCACAUGUCCAAACAAAACUUCAUUUUCGUCUCAUGAUUUCAUAUUAUGAUAUCAUAUCAUGAUUCUAUAUAAUGAUUUCAUAUCGCAUAUCCAAACAGGCCCUUAAUAUAUACUUAUUUUGUCUAACUUCAGACAAAAAUAUGUUCCUUCUUCACUUUUUCCUCGAACGUCCUCUUCUUUUAUUUCAAAUUUUAAUUUGGUGUUGGUAUGGAGAGUUAAUGCACGCAUGAAUGUAACAAAUACAAUCAUCUGAUAUUUUAAAAAUAUGUAGAAAAGAGAGAAGUGGAAACAUAUAAUACAAUUCAACAAAUACAAUUGCUUAACACUUAAAAAAUAUAGGCCUAACCCAUUGGUAGCCCCCUAAAGUUGGCAUCAUGUUUCACUUAGACAACUUAAGGAGGCAAUGUUCAUUUUAGACAGUUAAUGUAGGGUUUCAUUGUGUCAUUUUGACACUUUUUGUUUACAUAGCAUAACAUUGACUAGCGUGUGAAAUGAUUUUUUUUGUUAAUUUUUAAUUAUAUUUUUCUUCUUCUUCCCAUUUUUUAGCUACCAUUUUGCAUACAUCGUGAAUGAAGGUUUCAAUAACUGAUGGAGUGAAUUUCUUUGAACUAGCAAAAUCUUUCAUUCACUUAAACCUAUUAAUUAGGCCAAAAAAAGAAGGAGAAAGUGACUGUAAAAUUUUUCAAUGGCGCACAGAUUUAGUGAACCAAUGCAGAUGUUUCUGUCAAAGGAAUAAAGGUAUUUAGAGAAGACAAGCCGAUGGGCCAUUUUCUGCAAAAGGUAUGGCGAAGACACACGUUGGGCGGAGAGGAUAAUCAGUGUUUUAGGGGGUGGGGUAUUUGGAGAAAACUGUUUGGGGUGGGGGGUUUCUUUUAUUGAUUUAAGUUUUAUUUUAAUUUGUAAUUAUUUGGUUCAUGUGUCAUAUUAUCAUUGGCUAAUUUUUAUUUUCACUCAAAAUUAAUGAUUUAAAAAUUACUUUUGACAUAAAUGACAAAUGUCGUUAUUUAAUUUGUCACUUUACACGUCGUUCGCGAGUGUAACACACACAUUAUAUAUUUUUGUUGAUAUAAAAAAAGUGUCAAAAUAACACAAUGGGACCCAAUAUUAAGUGUCUAAAAUGAACAUCGCCUACUUAAGAUGUCUAACUGAAAUAUGGUGCCAACUUUAGGGGACUAUCGAUGGAUUAGGCCAAAAAUAUAUAUACAAAUAUAGGCACAGAAGGUGGAAACACAUGCUACAAUCUAAAUCCACUAUGAAAUAUGAAUACAAUAAUUAUAUAUAUCCAAAAAAAUAAUAUAAAUACAGUUGUUUGGUACCUCAACAAAUAUAGAAAUACUUAGAGGGGAGAGUGAAAAUACAAAAUACAAAUAAAGAGGGUGGGGAAAGAUAGAUAUGUUUGUUUGUUUUUUUUACUUAGCAUCUCAAACAAUGUUGAUAUGAAUCGUAAAUAUUCAAACUAUAAUUUUAGAUGGUUAAUUAUAUACCCAAAAUGAUAGUCAUGUUUGAAAUUUUCUCAUUAAUUUAUUCGCAUCAAAGGGAAAAUAUUUGAAACUCCAAUAGUUGACACACCACUAUUAUAAUAUAAGUAUUUCCUCCAUUUUAUUUUAAUAUGUUUCAAAAAGAAACGUCUUUUUUUUUAAGACAAACUCUUUAGUAUUAGCUUUCCACAUAACAUAUUUAAGUUAUCAGAUUAAAAGACAAUUUUAAUGCAUUUUUAGAUAUCUUUAGUUUAAAACCACGAAAUUUUUUUUAAAAAAUAUUUUCUUUAAUGUGAAAGGGAGGGAGAGUACUAGGUAAAACUAUAUAUGUCAUUUACUAUAUAUGGCGUUUACUUGAAAAAAUGCUGAUUAGAGCUUUAUGUAGGAUUCGAGACUGGACCAUUCAACAAAGGUGGACCAUGCAUAUAUAGGCCAUAACUCACUUUUGCUUUUUUGUUUUACCCUUUAAUUUUCUAUACUAACUUGGGAUAUUAAUUGGAUCACACUUUUAUAUGGAUGUGGUAGAAUUAUAUAUUCAUAUCUAUUGAAUUACUAGAUAUAGGACCCCGUGCCAGCACGGGGCCCAAUAUAUAUAUAUAUUUUUUUUUUAUUAUUAUUAUUAUUUUUUUUUAAUUUAUGUCAUAUUAUGGAAUUUGAGAAAUUAUUGAAAAUUUUAUAUGAUUUUUAAAAUAUUUUAAAUUGUUAGCUAUUGUGAUUUGUAGUACUUUUUUUUUAACAUAAUUUUGAAAAUAAUAUUUAUUACUCUCUUUGUUCUAAUUUAUGUGGCACAUGCAAAAUUUCAAAUAUUAACCCUUUUUUAUAUGUCUCUUUAAUAUAUUAAGUUGUUAAUUAUUGUAUUUUAUACUACAUUUUGAACCUACUUUUUUAAUAAUAUAUGUUAUUUGCCAUGUCCCAAUUUAUGUGGCAUUAAUUGAUAGAUUUGUUGGAGCUUGUUAAUUAUUGUAAUAUAUAAUAUGGAGUAUUUAAGUUAUAUAUAUUUAUUAUUAUUAUAAAUAUAAAUAUAAAUAUUAUAUGUUACCUUUUUUAUCUUAAUUUAUAUGGCAUUGAUAGAAUUUAAAGUGUCAAAUAAUUGUUAAUUAUUGUAAUAUAUAAUAUGGAGUAUUUAAGUUAUAUAUAUUUAUUAUUAUUAUAAAUAUAAAUAUAAAUAUUAUAUGUUACCUUUUUUAUCUUAAUUUAUAUGGCAUUGAUAGAAUUUAAAGUGUCAAAUAAUUGUUAAUUAUUGUAAUAUAUAAUAUGGAGUAUUUAAGUCAUUUAUAGUAUAGUAAUUAAUAUAUAAUAUGUAGUAUUAAAGUGGAAAGUGGUGGGGCCCACGUAUAAAUAUAUUGGAUAUUAGUAGUGAUUCUUAUUGGAACACAUGUUGAGGUGUGGUGCUUGGUUAUUCACACUUAUUAUAUAUAGUAAUAUAAAUUUUAAAAGAAAAGAUUCUUUGAGUCUUCUCGAAGGAAAAAGACCGCAAAGAGAAGUUCAUGAUAUCUCUUUCGGAUGAAUUGUCAAAAGUUUAAAAUUUAUAAAUCGUGAAUUCAUAUAACAAUAUAAUUUAGUCAUUGAGUUCAUACAUUUAAUAUGUUGAGAGAGAUCUAAACAAAACUUAUUUGAUUUGUUCGAGCCAACACCUCUUUCUACCAAAGAAACAUGACAUGAAGGGUGAUGGUCAAGUGUUCUGGCAUGAUUCGUUGUCAUGGAAAAAUCCAUUUGCUUAUAACACUACUAUAAAAUGUGAUAGUUUUGGCAACAUUGUAUGUUUUAUAUAUUGGAGAUUUCAAAGUUUUUAAUUGUCUUUUUAUAUAUAUACCAUAUUAUUGUAAGCUAACCAAUGAUGUGGACAACUCGUGUAAAAUACUUUGCCACAGCUAGUUUUAAUCUUUUGUUAUUAUAAUGAUAGUAUAAAAUUUGUUUAAACUAUUAAAUAUAACACAAAUUAUUUAACUCGUGCGUUACAUGCUUGAUUUAUUAAGUGUACCUGAGUCGGGUAUAAAAAAUGAUACUCUUUCUAUAUUCAUUCACAAGAUAAAAAUAAUUAAGAUUGCGUACACAUUACUAUCUUCAAACCCCGCGCAUAGAAAGAAACUUUAGAGUGACGAAAAUUGUGGAGUAGAUUUUUUUUGUUAGUAUCCCAAACUUUAUUAGUCACUACCAUAAGAUUCUCUAUAGCUGGACAAAGCUGCUACGUAAAUAAAAUAAAAGGGGAAAGAAGAAAAAGAGGUAAGGUUGUUUUUAAAACUGAAAGGAAUAAAGGGAAGAGGAAAAAGGAAAAGCGACUAAAUUAAAUUAAAUUAAAUUAAAUGGGAAUAAAGGUAAUCUUCUUGUUUUUUAACAAAGGCUAACCACACUAUAGAUGACUAGCCAUAAAGGCAAAAUGUAUGGUUCAAAUUGCAGACGUGGUAAUGUACACAUUUUAUGUUAGAUGAGAAAACACACUUGAACCAAAAAAAAUAAAAAAAAUAAUGAGAAAAGACGUUUCCUAUUGGUGUUCUAGAUUCGCGCCAUGUAUGACCUAUUAGCGUUGUUUAUCAAGAAUAUUUUCAUCUUCAAAAGUCAAAUUCGAGACUUUUGAUUGAGGAAAGAGCAACUUCAUUCACUUUACCACGUAACAGAUGAUAGUUUUUUCGAUUAUUAGACGGCAACUGACAUUCGAUUAUUCUUUGUCCAUUUUUAGUGCUGUUAAAUCGAUUAGUAUAAUUUGUUUGUUUCCGCAUGUUUGUACGAAGAAUAAGGAAUAGUUAUUAAUUUCAUAAUUAAUUUAAGAUGCAUUUAUUAUAUGUUUGAUUGAGAUAAAAUUAUAAGAUAAUUUACUUUGAGAUUGUAGUGUUAUUUUUAUCCCACAUUAAGAAUGACGAGGCGAGUAACAAAUAUAAAGAGAUAUUAAUAUGGUGCAAAAGAGAGAAAUAAAAUACCCUCUAAUUAAAAAAAAAUUAUUAAAGGGAUGUACAAAACAAAAUACACCCUUGAUUCCUUUUUAUUUGUCACAGUUUCAUUUUUAUAGUGAAACGAUAUGAACUUUGACUAAUAAUUUAAGAUGUAUUUUUCAGUAUUAUUGAUAUAAAAAAAAUUGUAAUUUCUAGUACUUUUUGUAUAGUUUUUGAAUAUCUAAUUUUUUUAUUUUUAAAUAUAUUAAAUUAAUGCAAAACAUUGAAAGUUAAUACUCUAAAAAAAUGUAACGUGACGGCUAAACAGGAACGGAUGGAGUAUAACAAGCAAGAUGGACCAUAGGGAGAAAUUUCUUCCUCAUUAAUACUUAUUAUUGAUUUGUCAGGAAGAAGAAUCAUCUUACCAAGUUGAUUAGCUAAUUAAUCUGAUUAUAAAGUCAACUCCAACAUUAUUGUAAUGAGCAUUAAUUAAUAAUAACAUGUUUAAUUGAACAAAUUCAAGCAUUAGCCACCGAUAUCAUCGAUCCACUUGCUCUAAACCAUCCAUUUUUCAACUUCAUUAUUUUGAGAAUGUAUAAUAGCUUCUUCCCAUAUUUUUUAAUUAAAUGAUGUUUGCAGAUAAUUAUUGAUUCAUUACACUUAAUGUCAAUAAAAUUGAUUUUUGUAACGAAAAAAUUACUCAACUAUGUUUAUAUCGUAAAGGAAAUUUUAAAAUAUCAACAAAAUGAUAUUUUUUUCUUUUUCUUGGUAUUUUUAUUUUGGGAUCCCACUAAUUCAGCAUUUUCGAUAAAAUGUUUUGUUCGACUCUACAAACACAAAUAUCUCUAUAGUAGUACCAAGCAAAAACGUUUUUUUCCUCCAUUAGAUUAGCAAAAGUGUGGCACAAUAGUAAUCUUUAACCAUGACUGCAAGAAAUUGAAUGUCAAAUGUAGGCAGUAGGCCAAUACUAUGCUUUUUCACAUGUAGUAUUUUGUCAAAACAUGAUUCACAAUACACAAUGGUACAUAGCCAAAAAUAAAAGCAAUCAUGACAGAAUAAUUUUAUUUUAUUUUUCCAUUUGUUAUCUGAUAAUCGUAUUAAGGUUUGAUUAGUCCAAAUUUGUAUAUUACAUGACUCAUUGUUAAAGGCGGUGCUUCCAACAAAAUUAAAAAAUGAGACGGAUCGAGAUAGAAGAUCUCUAACCAUGACCAUAAUGCAAUAACAAUAUGUAGAUAGUAAUCAAUAUGGAUCGUGGUGAAAUGAUUGAGAUUCCUCUAUCCUUGACCAGAAAUUUCAUAUUCGAGCCCUAAUAUGCCGAAUGAAAAAAGAAGACAAUAUGCAGAUAGUAAACCAAUUCAAAACUUGAAACACAAUACACAACUGUACAUGCUAAAAAUUAGAGCAAUCAUGCCAGAAUAAUUGAGUAUCUUAGAAAGGAAAUUAAAAGGACAAAAAAACACUCUCAUUCUUAAAACUAAGUACUGAUUUUUGUCAUAUUUCCAAACAACAACCAUAUUGAACAUGACCACUAUAUUCAUCAGAAGUUUCUACUUUUGUCCAUUUUUUCACUUUGCCAUCACUCUCCACAUCCAAAUCCAAAGCAUAAAUACUAUAUAGUUCAUCAAAUUGGCCCCUUCCCACCAAUAUCAACUUCCCUUGACACGCUGUCAAAUAUGCCACGCUGGUAAUCCCUGCUGGCAACCCCGCCAACUUCUGCCACGUAGGAUCUUCCUUCACUGCCACGUCACCACCUCGGCACAGGUAUAAUCUCCCAUCAUCACCUUCAAUGCAACUAUGAGGAGAAGUGUUGAUCACACUCAAGAAGUCAUCUUCCAGUUGCCACUGCCACGUGGCGGUGUCGAACACCUCAGCAUCAUUCUCAAAGUGACCUUGCGCCCACGUAGGAUAACCGCCGAUGACGUGGAAUUUACCUUUGUGAAAUACAACCUUACAUUCGUCUCUCUCCAUGACCAUGUCAGGAAGUGUAAUCCACUCGUCUUUAACGACGUCGUAUGAGAGCGCCGAUUUCAUCGCAUUCUUUUCGUCGUCAUGGCCACCGGCGACGACGAUCAUUCUAUCGGAAUCCGAUGCACAUCCGAAGAACGACCUCUGCUGACCUGGCAUAUCCGCCCCACGACGCCAUGACCCGGAUAUGAAAUUGUAAACGAAAACACAAUCCAUAACCCGCCAAGUAUCCGGAUCACACCCGCCAAUCACUACUAAAUCCGACCCGACUCCAACAAUCCGGCAAAACCUCGGCAAUCCAUCAAUCAACUCCGGUAUUGGCGGCAAAUCGUACCAGGAGCCGUUUUCCGGGUCACAUACGGAGAGACGGUAAACCUGAGUAGAAAAAAGUGCAGUAUCACCCUCUGAUUUUUUCACAGUAGCAACCAUAGAUUGUACCAUGGCUAAAACGGGUCGGGUCAACCCGGAAAAUUUCCGCCGGCGGAGAAACUCCGGCAACUUGAUCUCACCGUUCCAUUUUCUACAUACUGAAGCUGCUUUAGAAAAUUGAUCAACAGGGAGACGUAUGAGACAUUCAAGAGCUAUUUCAUUAGGUAGCCCCGGGAUCAAGUCCAUGGCUCUAGCUUACUUUUUUUGUAUUAUGAUUUGCUUUUGGAUUGGAAGAAAUAUUUGAAGCAAUUUUAGUUAUGGUUUUUCCAUUUUCAGAUUUAGUAGAAAGGGAAAUAAAAUGAUGAAUUUAUGACAAAAUGGAAGGACGUUGGUUUGACAAAACCGUAAGCGUGUGUGGGUGCAGGUUUAUACUGUUUGUUGCGGAUGGAUAAAUGAGUAGGGACACAAAAAAAGAGUUUACUUUGUGAAGUAGCAGUAGGGGCAAAGGAGAGGUUGUUUUCAGAGUAAUACACAAGUAGCGCAACUUGGUGAAUACGGCUAUAAUCAAAAUUAUUAUAAUAUUUAUAGAGGUACAGGCAUAUGAUGUUAAGAAGUUCUUGCGAUUGUCACGUGCCAUGACAUCAUGUUUUAAUUGAUACGAUUCGUAUUGAAUUCCAACUAAAUUAUGAGUACUUAUAUAACAUAGUACUUGAUAAAAAAAAAGUCAAAAGUUAUGAAGUUUUAAGUAUAAAUUAUUAAAAAACAAAGUAAAAUAAUAAAUUUAUUUAUUUAAAUUUUGGUGGAUAAAAUUAUUCGAUACUAUGCAGGGUGGAGGUACUACUCAUUUGGAGUACAUUAAACGCUCGAUAUGAAUAAUUUUCCAGUGGUUUCUUAGUCUUGGUCUUUCCAUUAUUUUGUUAAUUAUUAUAGUUGGCUAUUAAUAAUAUAUAUGCCUUUCUGGCCCCAUUCGUAAUGUUUACUGCUUGUCACUAAUAUUUUUUUAAUAUUGUCUUUUCAUUGUUUAAAACUAUCUAUGUUUUGUAAUUUUAUGUAAUGCAUUUUCACAACUCAUACCUUACCACUAAACAAUCGAUCAAUUUUGUUACGGGAUUCAUAAGUUAAUAUACACAUAUAUUUAUUUAAUUUUUUAAUAUAAAUACAAGAAUUACGGAAAAGCUACUGAGUUAGUCCAAAUCAGCAAACCCUCACUCAGCUCCGCCCCUUAUCCCAUCAUUUGUUGUUUACCCUUGCUUGGUAUUUAACUAUUCGAACACGUUCGGCAUCAAAUACGUUAAUGAUUUGUACUUUAUAACCAUUUAGUUUAAUGACAAUUAUAGAGUCGUGUUAUAAGAUGGGUCUCAAUAAUUAAUAAGAUAAUUCUCUUGUAGAAAAAUAUUACACAAAAACUAGCAAGUUUAAAAUAAAAUAAUGGAGAUAAUAAUCCGGUAAAUUGACUUUAUGCUAGUGCCUAUUUUUUAGCGGUUUAUUUGGUAUUUUGAAUAAUUUAAAUUUGUGCUGAAAAUUUUCAUAUUUGGAGGCAAAAACAUGUCCUACCCAAAAUUACCAGACUAACCUAUUAUUACUUUUACUAAAACUGGUCUUUAGCGACAAGUUAUAGUAUAAGUUAAUUAUAGCUAAAUAUGUUUCUUAAAGGUAUAUAUUACUCUUUGUAAAUGUUGCUAAAACCUCUAAAGAUAUUGCAUUCAAUGUCAAUUAACUAAUGUCGAUAAAUAUUUUAUUAUUUUUUUAUUAAUGUACAUAUUUUUUUUCACGAAAAAUUGCUUUUUUGGGGAGUAUACCUCCUAUGCUUUUCAAACCCCUUUCUAGUCCUCUUAUCCUUAGUUCCCCUUAUCUUUUCUUCUUGCCCUAUUCAAUGUUAAUUAGGCAUGUUUCAGCAUGCUGCUUUGAUAUUUUUGAAUUUCAAACUAACAUAAUUUAAUUGAUUUUGCCGGAUCUAUACGAAAUCAAAAUGGUCAUAUAUUCUAGGAUGAUUCAACUUUAAUAAGUUGAAACAUAUUAACAAAUUUAUUAUAUUGUGUAUAGCUUAGUCUAGCUUCAUUAUUUUCCACAUGAUACAUUCUUAAUCUUAGAAUAUAAGCUAUUAGUUUUUAGCACUUCAAAUGAUGAUGUUUUCAUAAAUGUUGACAUUGACAAAUUUAUAAUCUAAUUCAUCAUAUAUAUAUAUAUAUCUAAGCACAUGGAACUAGUCUUUUCCUUGAAAUAAGAUGCAAUGAAAAAAAAUAACUUUGCUAAUGAAGCAUGACAACUAUGUUCACAUUAUUUUACAAGGUAUUUGUUGAAUAUAUCUAACGUUUAUUUCACAAUAUCUACUUGAAAUUAUAAAUUAAAAAAAAAAGAGACAAACAAUUUAGAUAUAUUACAUCAAAAGGCGGUGCCUUCUAGUAGAUUAAAUAUUUUGCGCAUGAAAGUUAUAAACAAGUGAGAUCAGAAGUGGGACGUACAAAUUGAGAUUGUAUUUGUUGUGAACCAAACUAACUACAUAAGGGCCUAUGGGCUGGAAGUGGUGAAUGAGACUGGUCCAUUUAAGAUUAUUGGGCUGAUUAAAAUGUUGGAGAGUUUUAUUUGGAAUCCAGGCCCAACUAUCAAUUGGUUAAAUAGGUCUUUGAGUUAACACAAAAGGGUUAUGUGAAUUAUGAUUAUGCUUAGGCAAAGACUAUGCUUCUCAUCCCCAAUUCUCUCUUAGUUCCCUCAUCCCAUCUUCUUUAUAGCUACUGUUAUUGAUCGUCUUUUUCAUAUUGUAAUUGCUCAAUUUUCGUAUGAAUCAAAGCUUGUUAGUUUGUUCUCUCUAUUGUUUGUUGUUGAGUUGAGAAAAUCACUACAUCCAAGUAGCGUUUGUUACAGUAUCUAUGGUUGUUUUUCGAUUAAUUCGUUUUUGCACUAUAUAGAAUAGGCAUAAUACAUAAAUUGGACCCUAAAAUUGGCUUCGAAUUUUAAGUAUGACCUCUAACUUUCAAAGUGCACAAGUAGGCACUUCAACUAUCCAAUUCUUAAACAAAAAAACACCCGAAUCCAACCUGGCAUAACGCGUGAUUGAGACGCAAUUCAGGUGCGAGGCCCACAACAGUAAAAAAAAAAAAAAAAAAAAACGGGAAAAAAAAACAGUUAUCUGAUAAUCGUAUUAAGGUUUGAUUAGUCCAAAUUUGUAUAUUACAUGACUCAUUGUUAAAGGCGGUGCUUCCAACAAAAUUAAAAAAUGAGACGGAUCGAGGUAGAAGAUCUCUAACCAUGACCAUAAUGCAAUAACAAUAUGUAGAUAGUAAUCAGUAUGGAUCGUGGUGAAAUGGUUGAGAUUCCUCUAUCCUUGACCAGAAAUUUCAUAUUCGAGCCCUAAUAUGCCGAAUGAAAAAAGAAGACAAUAUGCAGAUAGUAAACCAAUUCAAAACUUGAAACACAAUACACAACUGUACAUGCUAAAAAUUAGAGCAAUCAUGCCAGAAUAAUUGAGUAUCUUAGAAAGGAAAUUAAAAGGACAAAAAAUCACUCUCAUUCUUAAAACUAUGUACUGAUUUUUGUCAUAUUUCCAAACAACAACCAUAUUGAACAUGACCACUAUAUUCAUCAGAAGUUUCUACUUUUGUCCAUUUUUUCACUUUGUCAUCACUCUCCACAUCCAAAUCCAAAGCAUAAAUACUAUAUAGUUCAUCAAAUUGGCCCCUUCCCACCAAUAUCAACUUCCCUUGACACGCUGUCAAAUAUGCCACGCUGGUAAUCCCUGCUGGCAACCCCGCCAACUUCUGCCACGUAGGAUCUUCCUUCACUGCCACGUCACCGCCUCGGCACAUGUAUAAUCUCCCAUCAUCACCUUCAAUGCAACUAUGAGGAGAAGUGUUGAUCACACUCAAGAAGUCAUCUUCCAGUUGCCACUGCCACGUGGCGGUGUCGAACACCUCAGCAUCAUUCUCAAAGUGACCUUGCGCCCACGUAGGAUAACCGCCGAUGACGUGGAAUUUACCUUUGUGAAAUACAACCUUACAUUCGUCUCUCUCCAUGACCAUGUCAGGAAGUGUAAUCCACUCGUCUUUAACGACGUCGUAUGAGAGCGCCGAUUUCAUCGCAUUCUUUUCGUCGUCAUGGCCACCGGCGACGACGAUCAUUCUAUCGGAAUCCGAUGCACAUCCGAAGAACGACCUCUGCUGACCUGGCAUAUCCGCCCCACGACGCCAUGACCCGGAUAUGAAAUUGUAAAUGAAAACACAGUCCAUAACCCGCCAAGUAUCCGGGUCACACCCGCCAAUCACUACUAAAUCCGACCCGACUCCAACAAUCCGGCAAAACCUCGGCAAUCCAUAAAUCAACUCCGAUAUCGGCGGCAAAUCAUACCAGGAGCCGUUUUCCGGGUCACAUACAGAGAGCCGGUAAACCUGAGUAGAAAAAAGUGCAGUAUCACCCUCUGGUUUUUUCACAGUAGCAACCAUAGAUUGUACCAUGGCUAAAACGGUUCGGGUCAACCCGGAAACUUUCCGCCGGCGGCGAAACUCCGGCAACGUGAUCUCACCGUUCCAUUUUUUGCAUACUGAAGCUGCUUUAGAAAAUUGAUCAACAGGGAGACGUAUGAGACAUUCAAGAGCUAUUUCAUUAGGUAGCCCCGGGAUCAGGUCCAUGGCUCUAGCUCGCUUUUUUUGGUAUUAUGAUUUGGUCGUAAAUUUGUAUGGAAGAAAAUAUUUGAAGUAAAUUUAGUUAUGUUUUUUCCUCCUUUUUCAGAUUUAGUAGAAAGGGAAAUAAAAUCAUGAAUUUAUGGGGGAAAAUGAAAGGAUGGAACAUUGGUUUGACAAAACCGUAAGCGUGACACAAGUUAAAGAGUUUACUUUGUGAAGUAGCAGUGGGGGCAAAGGGGAGGGCACAGAGUCCAGAGAGGUUAUUUUCAGAGUAAUAGACACAAGUAGUGCAACUUGGUGAAUACGGCUAUAAUCAAAAUUAUAAUUGGCUGGCUAUAAUAUUUAUAGAGUUACAGGCAUAUAACGCGUACAAGUUCUUGCGACUGUCACGUGCCAUGACAUCAUUUUUUUUUAUCCGAUCUAUAUUAUAUUGUAAAGUUAAAUUGUUCCUAAUUAUAAAAUGGUGACAUUAUUUUUGAGAUAGACUAAAAAAGAAAAAAACGUCAAAUAAAUUGAGACAAAGAGAGUAUCUCAUAAGUCAUAUGGUCUCUACAUCAAAUAGAUAGCUAGGUUUAUAAUUGUAAAAUAAUACAUUUAUGUUAAGACUAUAUUUUAAUUGAUUAAUCAUGGUCAAACAAAUAAUUAUGUGGCCUAAUGAUCAGUGAAAUGAAUUGAGAAUCAGGUUUGACAUUUGAAUCCAGAAUCAUAAUGAAAAAAAUUUAUGAAGUACUAAUUUCUUCAAGUUUUGAUAAAUAAAAUUAUAGGCUAAAGUAUUCAUUACCCCCCUGAACUUGAAGCUUUUUAUUCAAUGUAUACCUAAACUAUAUUCCGUUUUAAUUACCCCCGAACUUGUUUAUUCCUCCAUCGCGUACACCUUUAUUGUUCACUUGGCGUAGAAAUUGACAACACACUCUACUAGGCGUGUGAGGAAGUGAUUUUUUGCCACAUCAUAAAGCUACAACGGUAAAAAAAAUGUAAAAUUUUCAUUUUUCUUUAAUAUUUGACAUAUUUUAAACGAAAAAUAGGGCAAAAUGUAAAUGAAAAGUUAAGGAAACAAAGAUUAACACUUACAUGAUAAGAAUUUCAGAUAAAUUUGAAAUUUAAUCAACCAACUUCACGUAUAGAAAAACCCAAAUUCAGAAGGAGUUCCGCGAAAUCAGCCCUUAUUCAAAAAUAACUUUUAAACAAUGAAUGUUUGAUAUUUAUCUUUUGCCAUAUUAAUUUAUCUAGGUGGCUAUUAUUUAUCCAGGUGAAAAUUCGCAUCACCACUUUUGCCAGCUGUCGCGCGCGUGUAGUUAGGUGGACAAAAAAGAUGUACGUGAUGGAGGAAUAAACAAGUUCGAGAUAAUUAAAAUGGAAUAUAAUUUAGGUGUACACCGAAUAAAAAACUUCAAGUUCAGUGGAUUAAUGAAUACUUUAGCAAAAAAUAUAUGAUAUUUAUGCUAGUGCCGGUUGUACUCAUUUGGAGUAAACGCUGAAUAUGAAAUUUUUUCUAAUGGUUUCUUAGUCUUGGUCUUUUAUUAUUUAAUUAACUAUAUUUGCUACUAAUUUAUAUGCCUAUCUGACUCCAUUUGUUACUGUUUACUGCUUGUCACUAAUAAAAUAAAGGGGAUAAUAAUCCGGAGUAAAUUGACUUUAUGCUACUUUACUUGUCUAAUUUUUUUAUUUUUUGUAUUUGACAUUUGGUAUUCAUUUUGUAGUUUUGAAUAAUUCGAAUUCACAAGAAAUCUUUUAUAUUUUGAGAUAAAGCACUUUCUAUAAAAAUAGUUUAUUAUACAUCAUAUAUUUGUCGAACCCCUUUCUAGUCUUCUUAUCCUUAGUUCCCCUUUUCUUUUCUUCUUGCCCUAUCCAAUGUUAAUUAGGCAUGUUUCAGCAUGCUCUUUGAUAUUUUUGAAUUUCAAACUAACAUAAUUUAAUUAAUUUUGCCGGAUCUAUACGAAAUCAAAAUGGUCAUAUAUUCUAGGAUGAUUCAACUUUAAUAAGUUGAGAAAAUAUUAACAAAUUUAUUAUAUUGUAUAUAGCUUAGUCUAACUUCAUUAUUUUCCACAUGAUACAUUCUUAAUCUUAGAAUCUAAGCUAUUAGUUUUCAGCACUUCAAAUGAUGAUGUUUUCAUAAAUGUUGACAUUGGCAAAUUUAUAAUCUAAUUCAUCAUAUAUAUAUCUAAGCACAUGGAACUAGUCUUUUCAUUGAAAUAAGAUGCAAUGAAAAAAAAUAACUUUGCUAAUGAAACAUGACAACUAUGUUCACAUUAUUUUACAAGGUAUUUGUUGAAUAUAUCUAAUGUUUAUUUCACAAUAUCUACUUGAAAUUAUAAAUUAAAAAAAGAGGAACAAUUUAGAUAUAUUACAUCAAAAGGCGGUGCCUUCUAGUAGAUAAAAAAUAUUUGCGCAUGAAAGUAAACAAGUGAGAUCAAGAGUGGGACGUACAAAUUGAUAUUGUAUCUAUUGUUGUUUUUUGAUUAAUUCGAUUUUGCACUAUAUAAAUUAUAUUAAAGGAGAGAUGCUGCCUAUAACAUUUUUUUCAUUUUCAAAUUACAAACUUGAGUCACUAGACCUCUGUAAUUAAGAGUGAAAGUCCGUAGGUAUUAUCUGUUUUUCUAAGUUCCAAUAGACAACGAAGCUAUAGCUUGUUAAAUAGCAAAUUAUAGAGGAUUUAUGAAAUUUUUCGUUUUACGUGAUGACUAUAUUUAUAUUAGCUGUUGAUUGAUCAGACUAAUUAUUCUCUCUCUUUUUCCCUCGUUGCCUUCUUCUUCUUUUUUUCCGAAAUCUAUAUCUAUUCAAAGGAUCAUAUAGUAUCAUUCACAAUCCAACUUGAGAAUAUUAUAUCCCACGAAAAAACAUACAAUUUGUUGCCUUCUGUUCAACAAAUUAUAUAACUACAAUAUUUUUGGCAUGAGUGUCCCAUCAUAUACGUAGACUGUACAUUAAAUAAACUUUCUCCCAAUUUGAGUUACGCAAUAUCUUGAUUGAUCAUUGCAUAUGUGUUUAAUAAAUUAAUUAUCAGUUGAAAUUUGGAUAUCAACUAGUAUAUAUUUUAUACGUUUUCAAAUUCGCCAUCACAAGAUAAUCACUUGCACUAAUCUAAAAAACGUACGAGUACGACUACAAGACAUACUUUUUUGCUAAAAAGAAGAUAACAUCAUUCUGUUUGAAAGACAAAACGUGCGAUUUUAUGCCAUUCAUGUUUGAUUAUUAUUAGGGAAAAUUAUAUAAAAUAGCAAACUAUUAAUUCAAAUUAAAUUAUAUAACCACAGUUUCAUUUAAUUGUAAUCUGUAGCAAACACUUGCCAUUCGCCUCUCUCCCCAGAGAAUCUUGCUCGCCAGUCUCCCUCACCUCUCUCACUUUAUACAAACAAAAAUGUAUAAAUUGCGUUAGUGUUUGUAUAAAGCGAGAGAAAAUUGUAUAUACACUUACAAAUACAUAUAUUUGCGUCAUAUACACUUAUAAUUAUACAAAUACAGAUAUUCCCCUACCCGUUCUCUUUUGCCUUUCUCGCUUUAUACAAACACAAAUUAUACAAAUUACAAUGUAUAAUUUGUGUUGUAUAAAGUGAGAGAGAGAGAUUUGAUAUACAAAUGUUUUAUUUCGAUUCAAUUGUAUAUAAAUUCAAAUUGUAUGCAGAUAUACAAAUACAAUUAUUGAUACAUAUACAUAGUAAUUACAUAUAUACAAUUAUCUAACCGAUAUACAUAUAUUAUCGCUGCGCCUUUAUACAAACGAAUGCCUAUCUGCGAUUUAUACAAAUCUGAUGCUCCAUAUCAAACAUAAAAUUUAUUAUGGAGCGCAAUUAUGCAAACUAUUGCUAUAACAUACAAAUAUGAUUUUUAUGUUUGAUAAACCUAUUAUUAUAGUUAAAUAGAUUAAAGCCCACCAGCCCAAUCAAAAGUCAAAACACUAUCCAAUCUAGUUCCAACAUGGACGAACAGAUGCAACUUGGCUAGACAAUUCCACAAUGGAAAUUUGGACUAGUCCAUAUUUUACAAGACAUGUUCAUAUGUUUUUUUAUUUAUAAAAAUAUGAUCAUUUCAAUCAGGUGUCAUCUAUUUCAUAAUUCAAAUUCCAAUUAUUGAUAACACAAAAAGUCUAAUAUGAAUUGAGUAGAUUCUUUUGAAUUUUUAUACGUGUAAUUCCCUCAAUAUAUAUCAUAAAUAUUCUUACAUUUUUUCCCACAAAAAAUGUUUGCCUAUUAAUGUCGAGUUAAUUUUUUCAUAAGUGAAUACAUAAUAAAACGUUUAUAGUUAAAUUGUGUGAACCCAAUAUCAUGCGUAUUUAAAUUUCGAUUAGAAAUGGACUUGACCCCUCAUGAUUUUUGAAGUGUUGAGAUUUUCCCUCUAGCUAUAAGUUUGAUAAUGGUUCAACACCCAAUAAAAAAUAGUUUUCUUUUUAUUUAUAAUAAUAAAAGCUAAAAUAACUUAUUUUGAUAACAAAUGAACAAAAACAUUUUAAUUCUCAAACUAUUUUAAGAACGUGAACCCUGAGUACUCAAUAUACAAUUAAUUAAUAUAUGUAUUCUUUUAGAUGGAGCAUAUAGGGUAAAUUUGCAGAAGUUAUGUUAAUGGGGGUGGGGUGGGGUCUAAUUUAAAAUUGGGUUCAAGAGUUCAAAAUAUUUUGGGCUGAUCCUAUAUAUAUGAUGCAAAAAGAAGAAAAAUGAAUAUAAUAAGGUACUAUUAUAUACACAUUGUAAAAUAUACAUUUUGAUUCAAUACGCACAAUAGUUAAAUUUUGAAUCUAUCAUUAAUUAUUGUUCCAACAGUUGUCAUACAAAUGCUUAGAAAGCUAAUUUAAAAGGAGGAAAAUUAUUCCUGCCAUAUAAAGAAUCUUGAAAUUUGUCUCGAUCCAAUGUGAGAUAACUUUCUUCAACAUAGUUAACACACACACAUAUAUUAAUUUAUAUAUAUAUAUAGGUUCCCUUAAUUAUACGCACCACGUUGAAUCAUAUACUUUAAUAUUGAUCAAAGUAAUUAUACAUUAUAUGUUAUUUUCUUCCAACACAAGCAAAGUGAUCAAGUAACAUUCAUCAAGGUGCUAGUCAAAGGUUGACAGCAAUUAGCAAGCUAAAACUUAAUUAAAUGAUAAAUUUUAUAUUGCUUAAAUUUUUUCAAGGCCAUAUAUGUAAUUCAUCGAGUUGCUGAAAUAUAAUGUUCUUCAAGUUUCCAUAAAUUUCACUAGCAAUUUGUUCUUAAAUGACUUGACUCAAAACACUUUUCCUUUCUGUCCAAUUUACAUGCAUGAUACUCAAUUGCUUGCUUCAAUCAACAAGUAAACAUAUUAAUAUAUCAAAGUCUCAACCUUUAAAAGCUAACUUUUUAUCAUGUUCUAUCAUUGAUAUUAAUUAGCGAUUCAUGAUUUAAAUUAUAUGAGUUCAAUCUUUAAAGAUUUUAGUGGACGUUUGAUUAUGGAAAUAAUUUUUUUUCAUUUUAUUUGAAAAUUUUAAAUUAGUGUGGAAAUGGUGUUUGACCAUAUAUUUUCUACAAAGCAUAUUUAGAAUUUAGAUGUAUUUACAAAUAAUAAUUUAUACCCCUUUCUAAAAAUGAGCAAAAUCACCAAAUUUAACUAACUUAACUAAAACAUAUUAUCAAAUUCACUCUAAAAGAAUAAUAUCUCAAAAUAGAUAUAGAUUAAAUAUCACAUACUAUUACAAAUAUUUUUCACUUUAUUUGAAAAUUUUAAAAAUUAAAAUGUGUUUGUUUAUAAUUUUUGCAGAUAAUUUUGCUAGUUUGGAGGUACUUUUUCUAAAAAAAGCAUGAAAUAUUGGGUUAUUAUUAAUUAGGGUAAAAUUUUGAAAAGGGAAACAUAGAACCCGAUUAGCCAUGGGAAUUUUUCACUUUUUUUUCCAGAAUUUAUUUUCACUCUGUUUGAAAAUUAUCUAGAAUCACGUAGCACAUAAAUAGAUAGAAAUUUAAAAAUUAAUAAAAGAAAAUUAAUUUUUUGUGCAAAACCUUAACUACUACUAUCCGAGAGUUAAUUAUAGCAUUAAAAUACGAAUGAAAAUCCAUACUGAUUUUUGUUGGAGUAAAUAAAAAGCUGUUAUAGUCAAAAGUGAAUGUGAUUACUCUUUCUGGAAAUAACCCUAAAAUUGUUAGCUUCUUCAUCAAUGAAGGAAAAUAUUACUGUAAAUUGAAGCAAUUUGCAUGUUCAAAUUACUUCUCACAAUCUGAAAUUUAACGAUUUCCGAUCGAUAAGCAGCGCCGUUUGAACAUGUCUGGGUCAAACGACGGUGACAAGAAUGGGAGGAAACGUAAUCUUCCUUCAUGGAUGAGUUCAAAACCCGGUUCAAGUGGUUCGGGUCAGAGUAAAUCAAAUGAUGAAGGUGAGACGACGGAGACAGCUGAGCAAGGGAAAGGCAGACGCAAAACCAACCAUGGCAAAACACUUCCCGACGAAGCUGAGAACGAAGCACAUUUUUCAAAUUUCUCAAAACUUAUGGUAUUGUAGAGUUUUCCCAAUUAUACGAGCUGCGUUUCUUAUGUUAUCGCCCGAAUAUAGGGAGUGACUAUGGAGGAUUUGAAUAGUCAACCCGAGUAAUUUUAGCUUCAGUUAUUAUGGAAUGCGCGGAAUAGUAUACGGCGGAAUGCUUCAUAACUUCAUAUAGUUGAUAGAACUAAUUUUGACUGUUUUUGUAAUGAAUUUGGCUGAAUAGGGAAGAAUGAAUGUAGAAAUUUAUGUUGUAGACUUGUACUGAUUAUUAUGAAUAGGUCAAAUAUUGUAGAAUGAAUGCUAAUGAUUCAUACAAGACUGAAACUAAUUUUAGUUGUGUUUGCUAUGAGAUGGAUCGGAUCGCUUAGAAUGAAUAUAGAGGCUUCAUAUAGUUGACAAUUUGCUAAUUUUAGUUAUGUAAUCGGUUGGAUAGCAUGGAAUGACACAAAUAUAUAGGAUUAGCAUAGUCAAACCCAACUAAUUCUAGCUGUGUUUGCCAUGAAAUGUGUUGAAUGGACUGGAAUGAAUACGGAUUGUUUCAUAUAAUCAGCCCAAGUGAUUUGGGAUUAUGGAGUAUGUUGAUUGAUUGAUUUAGCUCGUUUGUUGUUCUAUAUUCUGAGUGCUGCAGGAAGGGGUUGUAUUUGUCCUAUCAGGUUUUGUCAAUCCCGAGCGUGGUACAUUAAGGUCCCAGGCUUUAGAAAUGGGAGCCAAGUAUCAACCUGAUUGGAACUCGGAAUCCACACUCUUGAUCUGUGCAUUUUCCAAUACACCAAAGUUUCGUCAAGUUGAAGCAGAUAAUGGAACAAUUGUAUCGAAGGUUUACCUCUUCCUUUUGCUGUAUAACUGAUGUUGAUUUUCUGCAAGUUCAUUAUGGUAGGAAGGAGGCUGAUGUCCUAGGAGAUAGUGAUGUGUCUAGUAUUAUGUGUUUCAACGAAAUGAACGAAAUCUAACUGUGUUGUGCUACUUGUGUCUUCUCUGUUUCCUAUCCCUGUAGACUUCAGUUUUGUCAUUUGUUUUUGAAACAGAACUGUUUUGCUUGAUCCUUUCUUUUGUUCCAAUAUUUCUGCUUUAUAUAACUGCAUGAUUCAUAAUUUCCUUGUGGGAAUGCAUUCUAUUUUAUUAAUGACAUUUCCUCCUCAGAAGAUGAUACUUCAGUCUCUAUUUGAACAUGGGAGGGUCUUAGACCUAGAUGUCGAUCUUAUUCUUUUGGUAUUUCUGCAAGAUCAAGGGGUAACUUAGUUGAGAGAGAAAAAUCUUGGUGUAAGUCUUUGUUUAUUCUUUAUCCUGACUUACUUCCUUUUGUUUUGGUGCGUGGGGAAACCGUGCUUUGCACUGUAUCUCGAAGUAUUAGGCAUCCACAUGUCAUGAAAAUGUGUGAUAAACAGUUGGUUUUAUUUUGCUUAAGUUUGUUCACGUUAAGCACCGCUGCCUUCUUUAUGUGGGGACAUGGGUUUACUGUUGGAGUUUGAUUUUUUUCUUCUACAACCUCUACUCUUUCUAAGUCUAAAAGUUUUUGCUUGUUUUGCACAGGAGUGGAUAACAGAGUGUUACAAACAACAAAAACUUGUUGAAAUUGAAACUUAUCUUAUGCAUGCUGGCAAGCCAUGGAAACGUCAAAGUGUCUCUCAUGAAUCCAGCCAAGGUUACCUCUCUCUGUCUUUGUCUCUCCUCCUCACCCCUUCCCACCCUAUCCCAAAACACUCACUGUUUGUGUGUUACAGAAGGACGGGGCUCAUUAAGCUCAAUAUAGUGAAUGAUACUUACAGUUAACUGAUCCAUUUUGGUCCUUACAGAUCAAAAACCAUCAACAUCAAGAAAAUCUCAAACAAGAGGAGAGAAAAGUUCACCUUUUAAGACAACUACUGCUCCUUCAUCUGAGGUACUUAUCUGUAUUGACACAGGUUCACCAUAUAUAGAUUCGGAAAAGGAUUCAAAAUCAAUUCAUCCGGACUUGCUUUUGUGAUCCACAUUAUCUUGUUGUGACAGGAGGUACAUUCUGAUAAAGUAAAAGAUGGCUUCUCUCCAUAUAAAGUGAAAAAAUGGGCUAUAGAUGAUCUUAACCGGACAAUUUCAUGGCUGGAGAAUCAAGAUGAAAGGGUAAAGUGAUGUAUCUAAUUUUCUGGAAUCAGUUGUUGACUUGUACGUGAGUGUUGUCAAUCUGACUGCUUAUCUUCAUUUGGACACAAACUAGCUUUGUGUUCUGUCUUAUUAAAAAGGAAAAAAAAAUGAAGGACCUCUGUCUUCUGAAAGAAUAGGCCAAAAAUUUUAUGCUUCUUUUUUUGGGUAAGAGGGGGGGAGGAAAGGAGGUGAAAAAUGUGUUGAGGGAAUUGCGAGAAAUAGUCCAUCCAAGUAUCUGAAUGAAUACUUAAUCCUGCAUAAUUGUAUGUAAUUAUUUGUCGCAAGUUCUCUUACUCCAUCAAAUUUGAUUUUGAUACAGCCAGAACCCCAUGAGAUGAAGAAAAUAGCUGCUGAGGGAAUUCUAACCUGUUUACAGGAUGCCAUAGAUUCUCUUAAUCAAGGGCAGGUAAAUUAUUUUUUGCUACAAUUUUCCACAUUUUUCUAUUGAACGUUUGGUUUAUAUUGAGUAAGAGUUAUGUUGCUGGUCUCUUACUUGCCAUUUUGGAUAUCCUUAAGUAAUAUAUAGGACUGCCGUGGGAAAAUCUUAGAGGGGGAUAGUAUCUCUCUUGUCAACAUAACAUGUGCUGAAAUUUUUUCUGCCUUAUCACCAUUUGAAACUGCUAUAGUUUCGCCUCAGGAUUUUCUUCUUGCCAAUUUCCUGGUAAUGUAUUCUGUUGCUAACAAUUAAGUUGCACCAUUGAUGUUGGACUCUUUUUCAUGUAGUUGACCCCAACUAGUUUUGGGGUGAUGCAUAGUUGAUUAAUCAAUUAUUGAUGUUGGACUGUUCUCACAAAUUAGUUAUUGCUAUGGAUGAUAAAUGAAGUAGCAUUUCAUGUUUUACACAAAUUAGUUAUCGCUGUUUAUAUUUACUUUAUAAAGAAAAUAAAUAGUGCUCUAUGACAAAUAGGUAGCAUUGCAGUUUUUAAUCUAAUUAAUUUUUAUCCUAGGCAGCUUCUUUUGUUGGAUAUUACCAUUAUUGAACUGCAUUUUCAUGAGAGAAUUUGCGUUGAUUAAGUAAUUGGUAAAUACUAACCUGCAUCGGGUGUUUACUGUGAUUAAGUGAUUUAAUGUAGUAAAAAUAGUCAUUAAUUAAUCAUGGUCAAGUGAUAAAAGUGUGCAUACAAACACAUGUCAUGCAUCUAUUGGUUUGGCGUAAACACCCAGUGCAAGUAAGUUUUUACCUAAUUAAUUUUUCAUCCCACCAAGACCUUUUGUUUUCUGAGAGUAUUCUGGAAUCACAAAUACAUUAUUGUACAUGAAGGAAGGUAGUGAGAGUGAAGGCAGUCAAUUGACUCGAUUCUAACUGUAAAUGUGGCGGUAGUAACCAGUGUGGGUAUAGUCUGGGUGGACAUUGGAUGUUCUGGCAAGCAUGGAGGCAUGUUAGGUUUUUGGAGGGUCUAUUGGGUGUUGUUGUUGAUGGUUGUACUGUACAGGGGUGGCUAAUGAUAGGAAACUGGGAAUGGCGUUAAAUGACGACAAAAGUCUGCUGGUUUCCGAGUCAGUCAAAACAGGUGGCACAGUUACAUAGAGCUGAAUGAGCAAAUGCUUACAUCUUGUAGCAGACAUUUUUAGCAUACUGGGCAGAACUUUUUGUGCUUCCUUACUUGAGUCCCAUCAAGUGAGAACAUUAAGCAUAAUGGGUUGGAAUAUCAGUUUUUUUUUUUCAUACCAAGUGAAUAACUUCAACAGGGAACACAUAUUCUGACAGAUGAUUGACCAAGAUGUGAUGAACCCAUUGUAGAACUUUUAUGGCUGUGAGGUUGCCCUUAUAAAAAAAUUAUGAAAACAUGGUUGUUUCUUCCAGGGAGAAGUUUGAGUUGCUCUUUUGAAAGUACGUUCUUUGUUAAGGCUACAAGUGUCCUUUGAUCUGUAUUUCAAGUUGAAUGAAUACUCUCUGUCCUAGGAAAUGGAGGGUAGGUUGUAAAUUCAUUUGCUUAGCCUAUCCUUUGAAUGUUGUGCUUUCCAAUGGAGAAACUUUAUCAUGUCUUGAGUCCUUGAACAUUCUAAGAAUUCUAGCUGAAUUAAUGUUGAUUCUCUGGUACAAGAAUUGGUGGAAAUUUUAUUGGAAGAUUUGUAAUAUAGUAGGUAAUAUCAAUUAGUUCAAGCUGUAGUGAUUAAAAAAGUAAUCACUGAAGUAAAAAAGGUUUUGGCAGUUGCUUUUCUUUUCUCCAUAUUUUGAUGAUAUGUUUGACUCAUCCUCCAAUUUAUUUAUGUUUUUUCGUGGUUAAUUAUAUUCUUGUUAACUCUGUAGGAUAUGCGUCAAAUAACUGAACAGUGGGAAUGCAUCCCUCGUGCCGUUGAGGAGCUGGCAAAGUUUGAUGGUAGUUGUGUUGGUUCAGCUACAAUGCACAAGGAUCUUUGCAAACAAGCUGCGACCUGUAAACAAAUUUAUGAGCUGGAGUACAGAAAUAGAGAAGACGAUGAGCUUUCGAAGAAGAAAGAGCAGCAGACUCGUGUAAGUGGAAAGGCUGGUGGCGCUGCCAAAGAUGCUGCUGCAUAUGACAGUGAUGAUACUGUUGAGAUGACAGAAGAGGAAAUUAACCAUGCUUAUAAUGCCGUAGCAUCUACGGUUAGAAACACUAAGCGAGUGUAAAACUGGGAGGUAGAAACACUAAUCUUCAAUUCCUUUUAGCCUGUGAAUGGAGGAAGAAGAUGAUAAUUUUAUAUUUGAACUAAGUAUCGACAUCCAAGAGUUGUCAUCUGUCACUAACCUGUUAUAAAAAAGUAUACAAAAACCCAAUUACAUACUCUGGGCUGGAUCUUCCAUCUUUUUUGAGAUUUUUCUGUCAAGUUGGUUUAGGUCCCAAAAAAUCUAUGUACCAAUAACUUUGAUCCUCGCUACCUCAAUUUCUUUUUCUAUCUUUAUUUGUUUUCUAUGCUCGUUUUAGUUUUCAAUCAACAUUCUUUUAAUAAACAUUGUUGUCCGAAUCAACUUACGGGCACUUGAUUAAUUAUAUGGAAAACGUACUAUUUUCCACCAACGUAUGUAUCAAGUAAUUAUGUUCACUCAAACUUUGAACGAAUGAGAUGAGAUCAUAUGAUAUUUGUGCCUGCAAUGAAAUUUUAAUUUUGAAAUCUCAUGCUUCUCAGUUCAUUCCAUUGAUCAUUGGUGCAAUGUAAGUAUGCAACACAUGUCAAUUGUUUAAUUGAAAGGAAAAUUACAACUGACUUCGUUAAUAAUAAUUUGAGGAAAUUGAGAUUAUUAUUACCUGAGCUGAUAAUCUUUUCGAAACAAUCUCUCUAUCUCCAUGAUGUAAGGGUAAGUUUAAAUACACUCUACACUAUCCAAAUCCACUUAUAAAAUCACAUUAAACAUGUUGAAAUUGAGACCAUUCGAAGAGUUGUGGAAGACUAUUCCAAAUAAAUUUUAUGGGCUCAUUUGGACAUGCGUUUUUUUUUUUCUUAAAAUAUUUUUGAAAAACAUUGUUUGAUUAGCCAUAAAAGUUAAUUUUUCAAAUGGUCUUUUUUUUGGUCCAUUAAAUAUCAGUUUUUUCAAAUGUAAUGUAAACACAACUUCAACUUCAAACUAUUACAUUUUUUUUCUCUCUCAAAUAAGCACUACAUCCAUGUCAAAAGGCCUACCUAAUUUACCCAUUUUUUGCAACUUUUUUCUUCCUUUUUCCACCUAACCUUAUUAGGAACUAACUAACGUAAUAAAAUCGUAAAUUCCCCAUGUAACCAAAUUACGCAAUUACUCAAAUACCCCUGCGGACUCCCCAGCCCGAAAGCUUCAACUUGACUAUAUCUCAGUAGGGUUGCAGCAGAUAAACGCCACCAUCUCCGCUGUAUCUUUUCCCAUUCACUGUCUCACUACCUGGAAUCUCCUUCCUCUUUCUCUCUCUAGAACCUUCGCUAUUCAAAAAUGGGGGCUUCGCUUCCUGCCAAAGAGGCCAACCUCUUCAAACUCAUCGUUGUAAGUUCUUCGUUUCUCUCAAAAAACCAAUAAUUCUUUUUCAAUGGAGUUUCGUUUUUUUUUUUUUUUUUUAUGCUCGUGUUCACUUUAUUCAAUUACUUUGUAUUCAUGCCAGUUAAUAGCCUGUAUUUUAUGCUAAAUUACUUCAGGGACGAUUGUACGGUACUAUAUUGGUUGCAUGAAUUUUAUCUGUUAAGUUGUUUAUGAAAAUUAUGAAUUUGGACAGGCUAGAGGCGUUUCCGUUGCAAUGCGAAUUUAAGAAUUGUAGUACAAUCGUGAAUUCAGAUGAUUUUGUGCUGAACUAAUAUAUAAUCAUGGUCCAAAAUACUUUUGGGGCUGGAUUGUCAUGUCAUCAUUAUAAGGAAUCAUGAUAAAUAGUCUAUUUCAAGACUUAAGUUUUAAUCUAUCGAAAUCCUCCUCCUUUAUCUCUCCAAGAAUUGAUAAGUUGCAAUAAGAAAGUAAAAGAUUGAAGUUUUAGGUGUGUCUAACGGACUAGAACCAUAAGUAUGGUGUGGUGUUUGACAGAGCUUGUGAAAAAAAGUGUCAUAUGAAAUUACUACCAAAAAAAGGCGGGGAUUAGCAAAGCUCAGAUAGUGUUUUUAAAGGGCGGGCGGUGGGACAUUUUACAUGAUACAUUGCAAGGCAUAAACUCCAAGGCACGAUGCGUAAGCCUAAUAAUUUAUAAAUUAUAAAAAAGUAUAUAAACUACAAAAAGAUAAAUAAAAUUAAACUAUAGAAAAUUCAAGAAAAUUAUAAAAUUAGUGAAAAUGUAACAUGUGCACGAACACUACAAUUUUUUUUUUUCAUAAUUUUUUUUUUGAAAUUGGUAACGUUGUAGUCUCAGCAUUAAGGACAUGUUGGAGACCUCCAAAAUAUUGUUAAUAGGAAUCUAGGCUACUUACAAUGAGCCUAAAAGAUCUAUAAUAGAAGAAAGAAGGUGCAAAUCACACCUAGAGAAAUAAUAGAAGAUCGAUUGAGAUGGUUUACCCAUGUCCGACAUAGAGUCCCAAAUGUACCAAUUAGUAGAUGCAACAAUAUGAUGAUUGGAGUUGUUGAAAGGCAACAAAGUAAACCUAAAUAUCACAUUGGAGGGAAGUUAUUACGGAAGAUUUGUAUUAUGAGACCUACAAUCUCUAAGACUUAGCUAAGAAUACAACGUUAUGAAGCAGAGAUAAUGAAGUCUAAAAUAUUCUUAGCUAAGAUCUAUAUUCUUGUUAGUGGUCAAUGAAGUGAGUUAAGAACCAUGAAACCUCAGGUUCAAAUCUUAGCAGAGACAAUAACACUAGGUAAUUUCUUCCCAUCUAUUCCGGCCUUGAUGGACGAAGUUACCUGUUGCUGGUGGGUGGGUGGUGGCAGUAACUUGUGGAACUAGUCAAGUUGCAGGGAAGCUGGCCUAGACACCACGAUUAUCAAAAAGAAAAGAGGCUAUGAAGCAAAGGCCCAUACAAGCGAUGACAAUAGGUUAGGGUUGUGUUGAUACUUUUACCAUUAGGCGUGGGUAGAUAUAAGUUUGAUAUUAAGUGAACUCCUAGUUUUGGAGAACCCCUAAAAACAUAUUAAUUACCAGUAUUGGAUUGACUUGAGUUAGAAUAUAGCUGAAUAUAUGGAGCAUUUAUACAUUUCACAAACAUAUAGAGGAUUUAUAUUGACAACACCAACUUUUUCAAAACUAACGAGAAAAAACGAUGAUAUCAAACCUUUUCAAAUUUGACUAAUAGCACUUUUGCAUGUAAUUUUCUUGCAAAAGGUUAUUAUCAAUUAUUUGUUACAUUAUUUAUCCUUAUUGAAAUAAUUUUAUUUUCAAAAAUUGAGGAAUCCUUGUCCAAAUUCACCCGGAAAAUCAGAAAAAGGAGAAAUUAUUUGCUUGUGUGUGGUGAGUAAUUUUGGAAGGAAGGGUAAUCACUAAUGUUUCAAAAGAGUAAAGGAGAACAUACUCAAGCUAAAAUCUACUAGCUUUCUCUUUUGACAUUUUGGUGUAAAAUGCAAUGUAUGUGACAUGGAUAGCAUAUGAGAGUUAUUCUUUGCCUCACAUGUUAGUCUAGAUAGGAACAAAAUUUUUGUGAGGGUUUCUGUGGUCAUUUCAUAGCACAAGCUUAGUGCUACUUUUGAGUUUUGAUCAAUAAACCUUUUUAUUUUACCUACCAAACGAAAAAAAUUCAUGCCGAAAGCUGGGUGCUUUAUCUCAUACUUCCUUUUGUGAUUGAAGGUACUUCACUUCAUAUUUGUACUAUUAGUUUUUCUCUUUAGGUAUUUUUGGGGUGCAAUGCAAAAUGUAUAUUAUGUAGGCAGCCUACCAAAGUCUAGACAGGAACUGAUUUUUUGCAAGGUUCAUGUUGUAAUUUCAUACCACAAGCAUUGUGCUACUUUUGAUUAAAAAAACUUCAUGUUUAUUUAUCAAAACAGAAUUCACGCCAACACUUAGAUGUUUUUUCUCGUAUCCUGAAUCCAGGCAUUCUUUUUAGUAAAAUAUGACAUAUAAUCCUUUUUGUACUACUCCCUCCAUUCCAUUUUAUGUGAGGUAGUUUGACUCGGCACGGAGUUUAAAAAAGAAAGGAAGACUUUUAAAGCUUGUGGUCUAAAAUGAAUGAUAGAAAUUUGUGUGGCUAUAAAUCAUUUCAUUAAGGGUAAAAUAGACAUUUUAAAGUUAAAUUGUUACUUAAUAUAGAAAUGUGUCAUCUUUUUGGGACUGACUAAAAAGAAAAGUAAGUCACAGAGGAGUAGAUUAUAUGACUAUUUAACAUGAAAUAUUCCAGUUAAUUCAUUAUGACUGGAGUACAUAUGACGUCCACUCCCCCUCUUUUUGUUUAUUCUCUUUCUAAUUUCUUGAUUACUGUUGGCUUAAGUAAGUCUAAUGUUGAGCCGGAUUUCUUAAUUGUUGCAGAAAUCAUAUGAGACAAAGCAGUAUAAGAAAGGCUUGAAAGCUGCUGACACUAUUCUCAAGAAAUUUCCUGACCAUGGAGGUAAAUUCAAUUCUACAAGGUGCACAUUUGAUUAGAAGUCAAAAAUUUGAGCUCCUUGUUCAUGAUUAUUAGGCAGAAAUUUCAAUAUGGUUGGUCUUUUAUUUUCUUUUAUGUAUACAUCAUGCAUUUUCAACUAUAAAGCCAAUGUUACCGUGUUAGGGUUGUUAGAUUGAGGUACUUGCUUCCUGAAGUAUUACCUUCUUCUUGUGGUGGAUGUGCCUGAAAGCAGUGAGAUAUGAAUCACUAUCUGGGAAAUGCAACUAGUUUUUUUUUAUUUUUUUUUCAUUUUUUUUUAAAACAUUUAAUAUAAAACAUCUAUCAGGAGAAUAUAUUUAAGUAUUGUUGCAGUUUCCUCUUAUUCUGCUUGCCUCAAGGUGAUGAAGAGAUAUGGCAACAACCUCCACUUCCUUGUCUUCCACCCCCCCGUUAAGGAGCCUCCACUUCCUUAUCUUUUUUGAAUCCAAUAAUUGUAUAAUUUUUUAUAAUCAAAUCUUUAGUACUACUGGAACUAUGUCAAGUCUGAGUCGAUAUAACAUUGCUAGGCCCCCAAGGCCUAGCUCAAGUGGCAGAAGGUGGAGGAUUUGUGGCUUAGGUCGCAGGUUCAAGCCCCACACCAUGCAAAGCGAAGCCCGGUAUUUAAGUGGAGAAGGGUAGAGGGGCGGGCCCAUUAUCCACCGAGUUUAGAAGGCUGUGAUUGGUCCAAAGGGCGGGUCACAGACGGAUUUCUCGGUUAUCAAAAAAAUAAAAAAAUAACAUUGCUAGUAUAAUACAAAAGUCUUAGUUGUUUCUGUUUAAAGUGGUACUGUUCACCCUAUGUGAACUUAGUGUCCCUAGUCAAGAGGUGAUUAUAGAAUAAAACAGAAGGCUGAGUGUGUGAGAUGAACCAACUCUCUGAUCUCUAUUUCUGCAUUAAGAUAUGAUAUGACUAGCUCUUCUAUUUUUUGCAUUUUUACUGUUGAUAAUGAAGCAACAUUUUUUGAAUGCGUUUGCAUUUUUAAUCAUUUUGAUUGAUGAUCAUAUAUGUUGUGUUAAAAGCUUUCAGCUGCAUUUAGAACCCAAUUGACAAGCCUGUACCUGAAUAACAAAACAAGACCUUCCAUUCAUGAUCGGUCUUUGAGAAGUUAAUUUGUAAUCUGUAAAUAGAUGAAGGACGGCACCUUUACUUUUCCAUGAUAAGUAUGAUGGAUAACAAUAUUUAUAUGAACAGUAGGCAAUAUGCAUGCUAGCAGAUUUUUUUAUGUCUUUUAUCAGACAUGCCGACUGUAAAUUUUUCAUUGAAUCUUCUAAUCAGUAGUUCAAGCUCUCACUUCCAGACCAUGUUUUCUGCUGGAUGUGAAGUAAUUGAGAUUGAGCUUGAGUAAAGUAGCACUAGUUGUUUUGUAUCUUAAUGACUGUUCUUUCCUUCCGGGGCGUUCUUAGUUAUUAUGCUGCCAUUUUACUUAAUGAUCUGGUUACAGAAACGCUAGCAAUGAAAGGAUUAACACUGAAUUGUGUGGACCGCAAAUCAGAAGCAUAUGAACUUGUCCGGCUUGGAUUGAAGGUGGAGUUCAUUCAUUUUCCUCUUAGGAAUGAAAAGCUCCUUGUGUUUUAACUUCUAUUGUCCUUUUUUUUUAUUUAUUUAUGUAUAACAGUGUUAACUAUGCUUCUCUCUUUGCAGAAUGACCUUAAGAGUCAUGUUUGUUGGCAUGUUUAUGGGCUCCUAUACCGAUCAGAUAGAGAGUACCGAGAAGCAAUUAAGUGCUAUCGCAAUGCCCUUAGAAUCGAUCCUGACAACAUUGAGAUAUUACGUGACCUAUCCCUUUUACAGGUGUGACUCUUUUAAUAACAUUCUUCUUCCUUUACUGAGUGUUUGCUGCACUUAAACUGUUCUGCAUUUAGGCUCAUCAGUAUAAGCCUCAUAAUGGGUUGCUAAAGAUUAAAGUUGUGCUGCGUCUCAAUCAUGUCUAUUAAACUGUUGUUAAAGAGCUGCUCCUUAAUGAGUGAGUUGCCAAAUUACUUCAGAAACUUUCAUGUCAGAAGAGUUAUUCAUUCAUCGUUAUGCCUCGUUUCUCACGUGUAUAUGGAGUAUUGGAUGAUACUAUCACUGUACACCCUUUACUGAUGCGAGUGAAUAAGUGGGUUGCUUAUGCUUGUAAAAUUGUCAUGUCUGUGGCAUUCCUGCAACUCCUUUUUCUUGUUCCCGAGCUUAAAGUUGGACUGUAUUUCACAUGACAUUCGUGUGGUUUAUUUUCUUUGAUCGCUGCCUUAAGACUUCUUUUUUAUGUUCUGAUGAUCCCAGUAAUUUAUGACAUUCUAAGUUAAGGUGCAAUCUGGGUGUUAAAGGUUCCUCCUAUGUUGUUGGAAUGUCUCCUUUAAUUGCUCCAGGUGCUUGGUAUCAUGAAUUUCUAUGCAAAUCGAUUCUUACAUGAUUAACAUCUAAGAAUUUCGUAGAGUGGUGGCCAAAAGCUUAUCUUGUAAAAUGAGCAGCUCUGUUAUUUUACCUUUGUCAUUCUCAUUGUGUUUCCUUUUCAUUUUUUAGCGUGCUUUUCUUCUUUGUCCAAACUUAUGGGUUGGUAAAUAUUUUCUGCAGGCACAAAUGCGUGACUUGUCAGGUUUCGUUGAAACGAGACAGCAAUUGCUCACUCUGAAGCCAAAUCAUCGCAUGAAUUGGAUUGGCUUUGCUGUUUCUCAUCAUUUAAACUCCAAGUAACUUGCUCUACUAUUGUCGUAAUAGCUAGUACAAUUGGUAGAUGUGUGUUUCGAAAUAGCUAGUACUUUCUCUCCUGCUGAUUAUCUGUUUUUGAUGCCUGAUAGAAAUCUAGUUGAGGAGUUGAAGAACUGCUGCAUUACAUGGUGUUUCUGUGUAUAAGAUAUUGGAUGUCCAUAUUGGGGAAUUUGAUUUGGUUUGCAUGUGAAUAAAGUAUGACUGGCUUGGCAGUUGAUCUGACUCUUUAGUUCUUGUCUUUCUCUGUUUUUUUCCUACAGUGGUUGUGGGUAGGGGUGUUCACAGUUCGGUUUGGGUCAGUUUUUCUCUAAAAGAAAACCAAAUCAAUUAAGUAGGGGUGUUCACAGUUCGGUUUGGGUCAGUUUUUCUCUAAAAGAAAACCAAACCAAUUAAGUUGGUUAUACAAAUGUUGGAAACAAACCAAACCAAUUAAGUCAUUUGUCAUCGCUUUGGUUUUGUUGGGUUUUUCAUCUUAUUCAGUUUUUUGUCCUUUUUUUUUUUUUUAUAACAUAUAUGAUAAUAUACUUCCAAGAACAUAUUAGGUUGACUAAUUCCAACAUUAUAUUACCAAAUCAUUUACUCUUUAAGAUUGUUUGAAUAAUUUUUUUUUCUUUUUAUAAUUCACAACAUCGACUUCAAACAUCAAUCUGCAUUUCACCUUCUUGUAUGUUAGUGGGUCAAAAGCUGUUGAUAUCCUUGAGGCAUAUGAAGGGACUCUCGAAGAUGAUUAUCCUCCAGAAAAUGAACGUUGUGAACAUGGGGAGAUGCUUCUAUACAAGGUAACAGGGAAUAUUGAUGCAUGCUUCAGAAUAUUUUAUUGUUCUGUUUUAAAUUUUCAUUUAUUUGAGGCGAGUGCAGUGACAUAUACUGGUACCAUUCUGCUGCCUGAUGCCCAUUUAGGUUUUUGUACGUGGAUGGUUGAAAUUUCUAGUAAUACUCAUUUUUUUUAUUUUACUACUGCCCAAAUGAACUGGAAUGUUUCUGGAGAUGCUUCUUUCCAGGGCCAUACUGAAGUUUUUUCUUGCAACAAACCCAUCUGGCUCUUUUUGUUUGGCACAUUGUAGUGCUGGUUUAGCAACACAUUCAGAAAGCAUGAUUCUGCGAUACAUAAUUGAUUUAGUUGGAUGAAAGCUGCUAUGGGUAGCUAUGAAUUCAAACAUGCAAAAUGAUUUAGUUGCUUAACCACCGACACAGAUCUACUUUUCUAAGAUCUUUCUGAUUUGAAGUUUCCUGCUUGAGUAUAUAAGUGAUAAGAAUAUGUGUUUGAACUAGUUGCUAUCAGGUUAUGCCUGUUUGGAUGAGGCUUCAGUGGCCUUGUCUCAACAGAAAAAAUAUUUGCUUUCCAUAUUUUAAAUAUGUGAAACAAAUUGCUUCUUUAUGUUGUGAUUUAUACAACUAGCAAGUUAGCCCGAUGAAUAAUUCUGUUUUUGGAGCAUUGUGUUAUCAAUGCCUGGAGAAUUGUAUUAUUUUAUUCUGAAAACUUCAAUUUCACCCGGUUAUAAACUGUUUCAGGUCUCUCUGUUAGAGGAAUGUGGUUUUCUUGAGAGGGCCCUUGAAGAGUUGCACAAGAGAGAGUCUAAGAUUGUAAGUUCAUAUAAUGCAAUCCUAUGGAAAUUUGUUUGAAUUUACUCCUGGAUGUUGAUUUUAUUAUGUCACUAUAGUUUGACAAAUUGGGCUACAAGGAGCAAGAGGUUUCGCUUCUUUUGAAGCUUCACCGCUUUGAAGAAGGUGAAAGAUUGUUCAGAGUGCUUCUGUCAAUGAAUCCUGACAAUUACAGGUGCACUAUUAUCUUAGUUUGUUUGUCAAAAAUUACUGGAACGUUUAGAUGAUGCCUUCAUAUAAUAAAGAUCAUUUUUACAGUUAAACUAUAAUUUUCUAUAUGUGCAUAUCUAUCUUUUCUAUUAUACUAAGAUUAAAUCGUUCUUUGGUAAUUCCUUGUCAAUAAAAAAGAUAUUUCCUUGGUAAUUCCUUCUCAACAAAAAAGAUCGUUCCUUGGUAAUUCCUCCCCCCCCCCAAAAAAAAGAUCAACAACAACAUACCCAGUGCUUAAUCACAUGCAUGUUUUGUUGUCGUCGUGUGCUAUCUCUUAACUGUGAAUGGAUAUGCUAGCUAGUUUUUGUUCAAAGCCGAAGUACUAACUAUACAUGUAAUAUAUACUCUCUCUAACUUUCAGAUACUAUGAGGGGUUACAAAGAUGCCUGGGACUAUAUUCUGAAAACGGACAGUAUAGUUCUGAUGAAAUUGAUAGGCUCGAAGCUUUGUACAAGUCACUUGCUCAGCAAUAUAAUAGAUCAUCUGCUGUAAAGGUAAUGUGUGCUUUAUCCUGCCUACUAUCAAGGGAUAGUGGCUGUCUAACUCUGUUCAAUAAUGUUUGAAUCUAAGUUGCGCGGACUCUGCACUUCCGAUGUUGCACUUGUGUCGGAUUCUCCAAAAAUACACUACUUUUGGAGAAUCUGACAUGCACCGGUUGAUAUUUUUGAAGAGUCUGAGCAACACAGGUUUGAAUUGGUGUUGGGCAGUGGCUAUCUUUCUUACCCAUAUCCUGUCGAUUUGUUUUCAGGAAAUUCCAUAAUUAUCUGCCUUCAGCAAAGUACUGUAAUUUUAGAUGGCUGAUUUAGUUACCUUGUGUUGUUGUCUUUCUGGACCUUACUGUGGUUUAAGUAUAGGCUACAAUCUCUCUUGAUAGAGUUGACUUAAUUCUUGUUUUUUUUUUAAAAAAAAACAUCAGGGGCCAACCAUUAGGACCAACCACAACCUUUAAAACUAAGGGAUAAUGGGCAUGUUCCUCUAUGCUUCUCCACUUACAUAACAAGCUUAGUUCAUAUGGCAGGGGGGCUCAAACCUGUGACCUAAGUCACAACUCCCUCAUCCUUUGCCACUAGAACGAAGCCCGGGGGGGAAUUGACUUUUCAUUCUUUUAAAUGCUAAAAGUACAAGCUGUCUUCAAUGACUUGAAAUGUAAACAUUUUAUUACUUAUCUAUCACCAUUCUUUCGGAAGCAGCCUCUCUACCUCGCAGAGGUAGUGGUAAGGUCUGCGUACACUCUACCCACCUAGACCCACUUUGUGGGAUUUCAUUGGGUUUGUUGUUGUUGUUGUUGUAUCACAAUUCUUUUACCUUUUGCUAUCUUGCGGAAAUAUGAUGAUUAUUCAUAGUGAACUUUGUUUUCUUUUCCCUUUCAGAGAAUUCCACUUGAUUUUCUUAAAGACGACAAGUUUCGGGAAGCAGCCGAGAACUAUAUUCGACCUCUUCUAACAAAAGUACUUAUAUGCCAACACCCUUUCUGGUUUCCUUGGUCUUUUGAGCUAAGCUGACAUGUUUUCAUGGUGAUGAAUAUCUAGGGUGUUCCUUCUUUGUUUUCUGAUCUUUAUCCACUGUACAAUCACCCUGGCAAGGUCAGCUCAAAUGUUCCUUCAUGUACCAUAGCAGAUUGCAUGGGUUUAUUAUUUUCCCGCAUAUUUGUGGUGUUUGUAAUUAUUUGCAUAUGUUUUACAGGCCAAUAUUCUAGGGGAAUUGGUUCUGAGGCUGGAGAAAUCAAUUAAGAGUACUGGUGGAUAUCCCGUGAGGUUAGUGAAUUCUGUCUACUUUUGAUUCAUGAUACACUUAUUGUGUCACUUUCACAAUUAGGCUUAACAAACCAUUGGGCAAACUUUAACAGUCCUCAGUCGUGAGCUGAUUUAUUAUUUAUUUUGCCCCCCUUUAUUAUGUUAGAUCAGUAAGAAGAUCUCAUUUGAUUUUCUUCUUUCACUAUCUUGACCUUCUUGAGGCCACUUCAGAUUUCGACAGUUACUAGUCUUAGGCUAUGUUGCUCGGACUCUUCAAAAAUGUCACUGGGUGCUUGUUGGAUCCUUAAAGUUGUGCAUUUUAGGAGGAUCUAACACGGGUGCAGUAACAUUUUUAGGGAGUCCGAGCAACGUAGGUCUUAGGUUUCUAUUACCAGGUACAUUCAGGUUACUUUUUUUAUUUUACAGAGUUUCUGUAAGAAAUAAAUUUGUAUUUUGCUAGUUUGAGGCUGAGAGAUAAUAUUUAUGUUUCCGUAUAUGUAGUCAUUUGUGUGUUAUUUUGUUUGUUUUAAACUUCAAUCACCAUACUCAAGGUGAUUCUCAUGAUGAAGUUGCUUGUUUCAUUAUAGAGGUUCCACAACAGAACAACGUAAUUCACGUAGUCAAUGAUUAUCUACAUAUUUCAUUCUCAAAAACAAUUAUAAAAGUUCCACACCAAAGCUGAUUUCUUAUUUAACCAAAUGAUGCCCGUCUGUUUGUCAAUAUAACGUCAAGAAGGGAAUUUUAAGGAGCUACUAUUUGUCCUUUUCACGCCUGUUAUUUUAUUUUUUAAAUCCUGUAUCAUCUCAAUCUCUAUUAGCAAUCAACCUAGAUGCUCUUGGAUUCCAUUGAGAUGUAAGCUUAAGGGUAUUGAUGUCUUAUAAUUUGUAUGAGGUGUAAUCAGUGCCUACCUUGAUGCUAUGAUUUCUGUGGGUUUUGAUUCAUUUUUUUCCCUUUCUUACUUCUAAGUUUUGAUGUUCGAAUAUACACUUCUGCAGUGAGGGAAAAGAACCCCCUUCAACACUUCUGUGGAUUUUGUUCUAUUUGGCUCAGGUUUGCUCACAUGUCUUCGAUAUAUCUUCAGGGCUUUCAUGUCUUUUUCUUCGUCGCCUUUCACCUUCCUAAUUGCUGAAAAAAUUUCUUGCUGCAGCAUUAUGACAGAUGUGGACAGUGUGACAUUGCUCUUGUAAAAAUUGAUGAGGCAAUAGAACAUACUCCUACGGUCAUAGAUUUAUACUCUGUCAAGGUAUAUUUGCUCAUCUAUCCAUAUCAGAAUGUUUGCGAAUCUUUCAUUAUUCGUUUCUUUUGCCUUUACCAUUUGUUUGUUGACUUUGAUAUUUGACAAUAUCCCUGUUGGUUCUUAAGUUACUUGUCUGAAAAAUGUUUCUUGUGAAACUGCACUUCCAAUUUUCAAAUGUGAUGAAAAGUAAAGGCUGCUAUCGGAGCUUGUCAAAAUAAAUUAUCUGUAAUUUGCACCAUAAAUUGUGUGUUUUUGUAUAAUGGAGAUAGAGAAUAGAUAUAGAGGAUCAUUUUCCCAGGCCCAACUAGUUGGGGAUUGAGGUGUAGUUGAGGGAUUGAUUUUUAUUUUAAUCAUAAGUCUGCUUCUACUUCUCACCACCUAUGUUAAACAAACAAUAUAGGUCUUUCUAAAAUUACAUGUUUUCUGAUGUCUGAUAGUGAUUCAACAUCAUUUUGCAUGUUUUUUUUAUUGUCCAUCUUCUUUGGUUGUCAAACUUCACUAGCAGAAGUAUUACAUUGAUCAAAAUCCGUUCGAUCUUGUACCUGCUCAUUUGACAUGACAUGGUAAGACAAAUGCACACACUAUCUAUUGCUAGUUUAUCAAGGAAUCUUCUACUCUUUUCAUGUCUCUCAAAUUUUAUGAUCAUAUUUCCGGGGACAUGAAUCUUGGUCCCUGAAUGAACUUAACAUAUGUUGGUCUAAUCAUAACUUUUAUAAUGUAUGUAACUUGUCUUUGGUUCUCUUCAACACAGAGCCUCAUAUUAAAGCAUAGUGGUGACUUAUCAGCUGCUGCCUCAUUGGCCGAUGAAGCCAGGUGUAUGGAUCUUGCAGAUCGCUAUGUUAACAGUGAAUGUGUUAAGCGUAUGCUUCAGGCUGAUCAGGUACAAAACUUCAUCUGUUUUCUUUGAUCUUUAAUAAAAUCUUUAACCUUUGCUGGUAAUUUUCAAUACCUAUGAAUUAUCCUACAUUUGUCCUUUGAUUUUUUUAUGUCUUACGCUGCACAUCUUUUUGAAGGUGGCUUUAGCUGAAAAGACAGCUUUAUUAUUCACAAAAGAAGGGGAUCAACUGAACAACCUUUACGAUAUGCAGUGCAUGUGGUAAGUUUCUUCACUGAACUUAAUCAUUAGCUACUUGGUUUUGCGAUCCUUUUAGCUGCAAUUUUUUGAUGAAUUUGGUAAGGUAUGAACUGGCAUCUGGGGAAAGUUAUCUGCGCCAAGGCGAGCUUGGGCGGGCCUUAAAGAAAUUUCUGGCUGUGGAAAAACAUUAUGCAGAUAUCACGGAGGACCAAUUUGAUUUUCACUCUUAUUGCUUAAGGAAAAUGACACUACGCGCCUAUGUUGAAAUGCUGAAAUUUCAAGAUCGGCUCCAUUCACAUGCUUAUUUUCGCAAAGCAGCAAGUGGUGCUAUCAGGUAUUUAUUUUGACUUGCUAAAAGUAUUAAAAUGUUUGAGAUCUCCAGGAAUCUUGUAUUCUAAAUCUUUUCUGCUGUUAUUAACCUUUACUAAUUUGUUUGCUAUUCUCUGUCUAAACCUGUGAACUAUUUUCUAGGAAAGACACUUGCUAAUCCGAUUACUGGAAAAAUUCUGCUUAAUAUCCAUGUUUUGUCCUAGAUUGUCGGCUAGCUUACCAAAUGUUUCUGUGACUGGAGAUUUUUAUGUUUCCUUGGGCAUUCUUUUUCUUGUAAAUCAGAUGCUACCUGAGGCUGUAUGAUUGUCCUCCAAAGUCAGCAGCUGAAGAAGAUGAUGAGAUGGCUAAGUUGCCUCCCUCUCAGAAAAAGAAAUUGAAGCAAAAACUGAGGAAAGCAGAGGCCCGAGCUAAGAAAGUACUUGAAGUUGCUUCUGUAUUGCUUUUGAAAAAUUAACUUAGCGUGAAGUAACUUUCUUUUGCGUGCUUUUAGGAUGCAGAAGUCAAAACUGAGGAACCAAGUUCCACUAGUGUUGUCAAAUCAGGGAAGCGCCAGGUGAAGCCUGUAGAUCCUGAUCCACACGGUGAAAAGUUGGUUCAGGUAUUAUUUUGUCUGUCGUUCUCUCACAUCUUGUAUGUAUGGUGAGCUUGAACUUCAUAAUCUCCUGUAUGAUGUAUGCACAAUUUGGCUACAAGAAGUAGUAAUGUAUGACCCUAGUGAUGCUAGAAGACACUGGAAUUGAUUAUAUAUCGAGUCUAGUGUGCCGAGGGAUAUCUCCAUCACCAUUUGAAUUUGUACUUCCGGUGGAAAUUUAGUUCAUGAAACUUUGAGUGGUCAACAUCUUAUGUCUGUGAGGUCGUGUCAAACAUUUGGAGUCUAUUCCAAGAAAGAAAAAAAAACAAGUAUGUCCAAUAAAUGGGAGAAAAGGAACUUUAUUAUUCUGAGGUUUUUCCAAAUUUUGCAUAUUUUGAUUGAUGUAUGAAAUUUUCUUAUUGAGAAAAAUUCAGAUUGAAGAUCCCCUGGCCGAGGCUACAAAGUACCUGAAGCUGCUACUUAAGCACUCGUCUGAUUGCUUGGAGACACAUUUACUGUCCUUUGAAGUAAACAUGAGGAAACAGAAAAUCUUGCUUGCCUUGCAGGUAUGUUCCUUCAUAAUUCAACAGUAAGAAAAAAUCCUCUUCCUUUCUGCUCCAAUUUCUAUCCAUUUUACGUAUCAUUUUUGUAUGGUGUAUCUAGGCUUGGUACUGGUCCCAGUGCAUUUUAAUCAACUGCUUGAAUUACCAUCCUUCUCUUUUUUUCUGGUUUAAUUAUCAUCUGUCUUUUGAUGUAUCAGGAAUCAAAGUUUUCCUUUUCUUUCUCCUUGUAAAAGAGAGUUAUCCUUUUCUUUCUGUAUGACCAUUGAUAAACAUUCUCUUUGAUCUUUAUCUUUUCCAGGCCGUAAAACAUCUGCUGAGGUUGGAUGCAGAAAAUCCAAAAUCUCAUCUCUGCUUGGUAUAUUUAUCUUUUUUCAUGACUUUUUAAUAAAAAAUUUCUGUAGUAGUGUAAAUUAUGUUUGUUUGCCUUGUCAACUGUUUCUUUGCACAGGUUUAAAUUCUUGCUGAACUCUUUGUAACUCUGAGGACUAUACAUCUUUCUUGAUAUAGAUUGUGAUCUCUUGCAGAUAAAAUUCUUCCAUAAAAUAGGAGGGUUGCCAUCCCCAGUCACCGAAACUGAAAAACUUGUGUGGCGUGUCUUAGAAGUCGAGCAACCUACCUUUAGGUUUCCUUGAAUCAUCCACUUUCCAUCUAUCUUCAAUGUUUUAGAUAUUGAUUAAUUACACAGUGAUUUAUCCUUGUUAUUAGACUGAGUACCUAUUUGUGUCUGUUGGCAAUUUCAGUCAGUUGCACGAGAAAUCUCUAAUUGAGGCAAACAACAUUUUCCUUGAAAAGCAUAAAGGUCCAUUUUCGAUUGUCAUUUUAAUGGAUUUGUCAUAUUUGGUCCAAGUUUUUGUUCCCAAGAGAAGUAUGAUUUCUUUGUUGUUGUACGUGUGCAGAAUCAUUGAUGCACAGGGCUGCAGUGGCUGAGUUGAUGUAUGUCCUGGAACCAACCAGGAAGGCUGUGGCUGUCAAGUUAAUUGAGGACUGGGUUAAUGAUCUUGUUUCUAUGUAAGGACUUGUAUUAAUGAAUCAAUUAGCAGUCUAGCAGAUUGCUCAUAAUGUCUUUCUCUAUAUAUGUUAUCAAAACUUAUAAGGGUUCUGUUUUAACUCUUCUUCAAAUUAGAGAUGGAGUUCAAGGAGCUGUUAGGACAUGGAAAUUGAAAGACUGCAUUUCACUGCAUAAACUCCUGGAGAAAACCUUGAAUGACCAUGAUGCUGCAUUAAGUAAGUGCUUUGCUCUUUGCCAUCUCAUGAUGUUCUGAUUCUUGGUACCAAUAUAUCAUACAUGCUAUUCUAUUUCUGCUAAAAGAUAAGAAAGUAUACAUAUCAUAUUUCUACAAUCUAAAUGGAGUUAAACUAAAUUAGCCCCUCAUUUUGUUUCAGUUUGUGACCUAUUACCUUUGUGGCUUAAAAAGCCAUACACUUCAUGUCAAACUGCUAAAUUAUAGAAAUUGAGUGUUUUUGUUCUGUUCCUGUUCUUUAAUUUUUUCCCAGAGGUGUUUCCCUUUUUGGUCUGUUCCUAUUCACCUAUCACCUUCCUCUGUCAGAUGGGAUAUGCACCGUUGAAGUGUGUUAGGAACCCACUCUCCUAACAACAAAUCUGUAAACUUUCAAAUGCAAUACAGAAAUAGGAACAACACUUAAACUGUAAUUUACUAACACCAACAAACAGAAUAAGUCUUACAAAUAGCAAAUAGAGAAUAGUCCUAACAACCAAGGUAUUUCGAGGAACCUUAACCUCCAAAUCUGCCAGAAAAAAUCCUACCCCAAAAGACUGACCGUCUUUUCUUCUUCCUAGUACUAUUUAUUACAAAAUAACUACCUAAACUGCUCGGUAACUGCUAGAAAUACAUACACAUACUAAUUAAUAAAUAAUACAGAUACAUUUAGGCCUUAUUUUCACCCUUCUUCCUGCGGCUAUAGACCCUAUUAAUAGCAGGUUUAACAAAGUGAUAGAAAUUUAGCACUUAACUGGUCAUAAUCACGUCUACUAAUGUUCCACCGCAUGGAAAUCAUAAUUUUGGUCUGGAACGUGCAUCAUUGACUUGAUAAGCAUUUAACAGUUGACCGGUCAUAUCCAUAUUUCUCAUUAUUAUUCCACAACAUGUUUCUUCACAGUGUUGGUGGUGUUCUCUAGCAUCACAAACAUUUAAGAGAUUUUAAGACAAGAUUACUGCACUUCUGUCCCCACCCUCGUUUAUGUGGGCAUUCGGUUUGUUUGGUUUGGUCAUCGGUGUAUGGUUUUCCAAAUAUGCAAACCAAAACUGAACUGAAAUUAUCUCGGUUAACUUCAGUUAUUAAAUUUUCGGUUUGGUUCUUCUUCAUUGUACAAACUAUCUCCAAUCAGUUAUCUGAUCUUUACUACCAGCUUGAGCAAAUAGGAUAUGAGAUUCUUUAGGACUCUCUGCAAAUAAGUACAGCUUACCCUCUUUAUUAAAAAUAAGGAAAAGAAAAUGUGCAACUUACCCAUGCCAUGAACGAUAGCAAUAAAAGCUAUGGAGCCAAUACUCAUCACAAGCACAGAGCACUACGUUGGGAGAUAUUUGAGUCGUGGUUCAUCGUAAAGCCUUUGUGAGUUGCCGUGAAAUAUACCGGAAGAAGCCACCAAUAAGCCCCUCCCAAGUCCCAAGUGUGACUUUUAAUUAAUCUGCUCAAUCAAAGAACUGUGCCAUUGCCACAGUCAGGUAAGAAGUGAUGCCACCAAUAAUAUAUUUUAUAUUUUUAGAAAUGGUAAGUUUCUUCCGACAACUCUACUUGUACUAAAUCAAAAUUGUGGAAUUUUUACGGUCCAUCAGUGUGGUCAGACAAUAGAGUUUAGUGACUUAGGUCCCCAUGAAAUCUGGUGUAACUUCUGUUGGAGAAAUAGAAUGCAAAGGAGUUUGAUGAGGAGGCUGCAAUUUUGAAGCAAACCUAGUUGUGUUUGCAAUCCCCCCAACCCCAACCACGCCCAAGUCUAGACAAUUUCAUAUAGGGGUCCAACAUCGGAAAUGAGAUUUGGGACGAGUCCUGCUCUGAUUCCAUGUUAAAAAAAUGGAUCUUAGGCCUACUUCAACCCCAAAAGCUAGCUCAAGAGGUGAGGAUUUGAUCAAUCCAUAUCAAUAGACCCACCCAUCCCUUAAAGGGCCAAUGGGACUCUUCACAAGUCCUUAACUACCAAAAAUUCCGAGCAAUUCAUAUGAGUCCCAAGACUAAUUAUAUAAUGCAUCUAAGUAUAUAAACUUCAGUUUUAUUGGUUAUUCUUUUAGUAAAUCGAGAACUGGAUCUCUGAAAUAAACUUCUAAAGGGUUUUUAAAAGAUGUGGUGCAUCUUUUUUGAGGAAGUUGAUUAUGUGCUCUACCUCUGGUUUGUUGAGUUCCCUCUGAUUGGAUUUGUCUGGCCCAUUUUGUGAACAUGUUUUUUUCCCCCAUUUUCUGCAUUUUGCUAUUAUUUGAACACUUGUAUAUCCAACAAACUGUUUACCUUGUAAUGUUAUUCCGAUGAGGCCAUCCAGAAUGGAAGCAGUGACCAAUCACUCAAAGUGGCUCAUUUCAAAUAUAUACAUCUUUGAAUGUAAAAUUGUCUGUUCAAGUCUUUACUUUGAUUGAGUGUAGGUUAUUUAUAGGUAAAAAUAGGUAGACACCCCAUUCCUAUUUAGUGUGACACCUACAGGAAAUGACUUUUAGCUGUAGUCGCUACUUCUUCGGGCCUUUAUUCUACACUAUUGUCUGAAGUUAAGUGCUUGCUUAUUACUUCAAAAGAAAAGAAAAACCUUCAGUUAUGUUACUUGUACAUAUGUGCUGGAAACUUUUGGCAAAAUAGAGACUCAAAAUCCUUUUGUCUUUUACUGAAUUAUACUUGAUAAUUCUCUGGAGAAUGAUGUGUUUGGCAUGCUCGUGUAGGAUGGAAAUUGCGCUGCGCCGAGUUCUUCCCAUUCUCAACUUAUUUUGAAGGUACUCGUAGCUCAGUUGCUACAAGUUCGGCUAUCCAUCAGACACAGAAAACCCCUGAAAAUGGAGUUGUCAACUUGAAUACUGGUGAAAAUUCUGCUCUGCUUUCAUCAAAUGGGAGAUUAGAUAAGCUGGACACGCUGAAGGAUCUACAUAUCUAAUUGUAUAUUUCAUGCUGAAGUAAAUUGUCGACAAGAGUACUGGAGAAGCUAAUUGAAACUGCAUUUUUAACCUCCGAAUGUACUCGUACACCAAUGGGAAGGUUCAAAUGGGUGUGAGACAUCUGAUGAUUUCUUGCUUUCAGACAGACUUCCUUUUGCAGCAGUUUUCCACCCCUGGAUUCAAUUUCUUGGCUUCUGUGUAUAUUUGAUCUGGUAUUGUUAUGAUGGUAUAGCAUUGUCUGGUUUCUCAGGGUCUGGUCAGAUACCAGAAAAAGAGUUUCUUGGGCUAGUGCAACUCGGUUUCAACAACUUAGAGAUCGAAGUGAGCUCUCCAGAAGUCUUUCAGGUCUGGAUCUUGUAUACCACUAGCAUAGAACAAUAUGCCAAGCUAGACGACCGUGAAGGCUUGUGUAUUAUUCAGUUUUGUCAAGCAUUAUUUAAUGUACAAACACAGUAUGUGAAGAUUUUUGUGAUAGUACUCGGAGAAACUUACAAAUUGAUUUGAGUUGCUGGGAUGACUUACCAUGAUUUAUUAGACCAGUCGAUUCGUCUGUCUAAUGCUAGCUUUAAUUGGACCUUAGUUUCUUUAUUUGUUUCCCUAACCUGGUCCUAGCCCUCUUUUUCUUUUUUCUGCAUGAGUUGUGUUGCCAGCAUAUUUCUAAAGUGGAAAAACGUGAAAAAUGAGCAUGAAAAGUGAAAUGUAACGUCAUAUCUAGUACCCCACAAAAAUGUGCUUACCUGAGAAUUAAAUAUGUAUGAUAUAAAGAAUGAUUAAAGCCUAUGUCUAUGUUACUAAUGGAGACACUAUGUUUUUUUCUUCAACCUGCUUUCUAGUGAAAAUGAUAAUUAAUACCCACAAUCUAGCGGAAUGAAUUGUCUCAGAGGAGAGGAAAGUCACUUGACUCUAAGAAAUGAGUAAGGGUUUGACAAUGUUCAUUGUUCCGUCUUUGGGUGGUUGGAAUUGGAAAAUUAGUAAUUGAAUCGAAGAAUUGAAUUCACUCUAGCGUCUAUCAAGGCCAAACUAGAGAAACAUUACCUCUAUAUCUAUCACCUAUCUCUAGCUGAAGAUUGGAACGAAAAGAACAAAGAAAAAUCUCUACGGGCAAAUUUGAAAUUUGAUUUUUUUGUUUGUUAAAACUGCAAGUUCAAAACUUAAUUUUCUUUUAGUUUGUCUUUAAAAGAAUAAUAUAUUUAUAUAUUUAAAAUAAUUUAAUCUUAAACUUUCAAAAAAUACUCAUAAAAAAAUAAUUUAGUAUCACACAAAUAUUUUUGACAAUUAGUUUUAAUCUUCGCAGUCACAUAAAUCUUCCUUUUAAUUCGGUGUUCAAUCUAAAUCUUCCUUUUAAAUUUGGUGUUCAAUCACAUAAAUCAAAUAUGUUCAAUUAAUUGAUAUGUUCCAUGAUAUUUUUCUUUCUUAUCAAACACAUUCUUAAUUCGCCACAAGUGGAAUUAAACCAUCUAUGUUUAUUACGUUAAGCUUUCAGUUAUAUACAAAGUGCAGGUGGACGCCGCCUUUUUGAAAGCGCAGUAGCUCUGAGACCUGUCAAGUUCCCACUUGAUCCUGUAAGUCUGUAGUCUAUACUCUGGUCCGUAACUUGAAAUAAUUACACAAUUUUAAUGGGUGUAUAUAUUUAUUUUGCACCUAUUAUACGCAUGUGUGUGUCUAUAGAUAUGCAUAUAAAUUAAGUGAGCCCUUCAAAGGGAAAGAUCACAUGGCAUGUUUUCUGUUGACAAAUAUCAAAUGUUCACUUAUUAAACCUCCAAUAUUUAUAAAAGGGUUCAAAUAAAUUUUUAUAUAUGAAUUACACAUAGUCGAGCCCUCAUUAUCAUUUUGUUAUAAUAACAUUUCACUAUAAUAAUAUGAUUUUCUUCAAAAUCGUUUUUUCAUGUUAGAUUUUAAUUACAUUUCUAUAGCAAUAUUCUACCUAUAAAAGUAAGUAAAAGAAGCAAAACCACAAAACUUGAAUUGUAGGACAAAUAACCUAGUCUAGUCUAGAUAUAAAUAAGCCAAAGUCUUUCCAUAGGAAGCAAAAGACACAAACGGCAAAAUUAUCAAGAAUUGUGACGAGAUGAAUAAAAUUUCUUGUAUCUUUAGCUAAUUUGUUUUUGAAUUUAAAUUGUGUGUAUGAAAAAAUCACAUUAAAGAUGUGUAUAUUCUUUAAAAUAGUGGUUUCAAACUUGUGCCCGGUAGAAUAUUAAAAUUAAAAACUUACUAAAUAUUAAAGAAGACACUUUUUGAAUUAGACUAAAAAAGAAACAACACACUUAAAUUGAAUAAAGUGAUUAUUAAUUAUUUUAAUCCAAAAUUCUAUAUAAUGAGUUUCCUUCGACUAUCUCUAGUUUUAAAAGAAGCAAAAAAAGAGAUACUAUUAACAAAUCACUGUUUUAACUACUUUUUUUAAUGUGAUGCACACCAAAAUAUCAUUUAUUUUACAACGGACACUAUUAUUAAUGUUUUUUUAAAACUUUUUAAGGGAUGUGCUCCACACCAAAAAAAAACCAAAAAAAUCAUUUAUUUCGCCGUAGACAGUACUACUUAAAAAUAUGAAAUUAGCUUCGAAAUUUAUCAGCAAUUCUUAGCUAAUUCGUCAUUCAAAAUUCCAAGCUAAUUUAAUUUUCUAAUAUAUAAUCCAUUGCUAAAUGCAAUUAGUAAGUUUUUUUUUUGUUUAGCUAUAAAAUUUUAUCUGUCGUUAAUUUCUUAUUUUCUAUUAGUCGGAGGAAGUAUAACCCUACAUACGUACGAUAGUGGUACCAUAGAAAAUUAGGAAAUUGUCGGUCCAUAUUAGUAUUAUAGGUAACAUAUAAUUCCCUACCAUGCUUUCUCAUGUGACCGACCAUUUAUUUUCAUUGCUCCUCUUACACACACACACACACACUAUAUAUAAAUUAUAAACUAACUCCCCUUUUUUCUCAUCAAACAAAAUGGCAACAGAACUUGAAAUUACAGAGCUUAGAUUAGGGCUUAUUCCUAGUUCAAAAAAUGAGAAAAAAAGGGUGUUUUCGGAGAUCGAUAGUGAUCGAAGUAGCACCAACGUUAACGAUGAUGAUAAGAACCAAGUUGUUGGAUGGCCACCGGUUUGUGGUUAUCGGAGAAAGAACAAUAAUAGUAACGCUCGAUCGAAGAAGAUGUACGUGAAAGUUAGCAUGGAUGGUGCACCAUUUCUUAGAAAAGUUGAUUUGAGUAUUCAUAAGGAUUACUCUGGAUUUGUAAUGAAUCUUGAAAAACUCUUCCACUUCUAUGGUAUUUGUAAGUAAAUAAUUUCUUCUUCGUUUAAUUUAUUCGUGUGAGUCAUUUGUAUAACAGUAGGGUAUAUAUGAGUUACUUUCGUAACGAGAGGUAUAUAUAUCAACUCUAAAUGAAAAAGUUAAGGAUAUAUCAGACCCUUUCCCCUAUAAUCAGUGGCAAAACUAGAAAUUUUGAAUUAUAUGAGUGUUGAGUUUAUAUUUUUGUAUGAGUUGGUAUGGUAUUAUUUUUUCUAGGUAUUUUAUAUGUUAUUUCUCAUCUCUUAUCCCUCGUACAAAAUGAUAUUAUAUUGAGAAGUGGGAAUUUGUGGAUAGGUGAAGGUAGUUCAGAGUACAUUCCGAUAUACGAGGAUAAAGAUGGAGACUGGAUGCUUGUGGGUGACGUUCCCUGGCUGUAAGUUCAUCUUUUUACUCCUUCCGUUUACGUUUACUUGUUCAUAUAAAACUUUGCAUGACUCUUACGAAAUAAUGAUUUUUAUUGUAUUAAAUCACCAACUUUAAUGUUUUGUCGUCGUUUAUACUAACACGAUGACUUCUUGGACAGUUUUUCUUUUUUUCAUAAUCAGUACUACUACUUAAUUUACUAGGUGUACGUGAUGUUUCUCAUGUGGAUUUGUUGGAUUUAAUUGUCUGUUUGACCAAGUUUAUGAAUGAUUAAAAGUUCUUAUUUUUUUCAAAAAGAUGUUUAUUUUAAAUAAAGUGAGAUUUUGGUCAAAAUUUUAGUAAAAGUAAGUGUUAUAGAAAACUUUUUUUGAAAAGCAGUUUUAAGAAAUAAGAACUUUUAAAAAAUUAUACACUACUUGUUGUUCAAAAAUAUUUUAUUGAUCAAAUACAAACUAUUUCUUACAAUUUAUUUUUUACUAUACAUAUUUGAAAAAAAA